AACCACCAUCACUAGACACACAAGAUUCAAGUAAUUCCAAUAAAUAUCUUCAGAGUAGAGAAGAAAGAGGAAACCAAAGAGAACCACCAUUGCUACUGUUGGAAUAAAACUAGCAGAAAGGGCAAAAGGACUCGCAGUUAGCACAUGCAGACUGUUGCAGGAAGCCAAAGAGACGUGAAACAAGUAUCAAGGCCACCGGCAAGAUAAAAGUUAUUUCAUAGUUGAUGAGCCACAUUCAGCCAGACAGUGGGACAUUUGAAAAAAAGCAGCUAAUAUAGUUUGGUCAGAUAAAGCAACCAACCCUAAGCCUCUAACUCUCAAGUGAUCCUUCAUAACAGCCUGGUUAUUGUCAUAUACAAAAGGUAUUUGUCUAGAUCCAGUUUUAAUGACCCGUUAGUACUCAAAGUUACUUCUACAUUUCCAACAUUAAAAAAUAACCGCAUUGGUAACAGAUUGUGGCGAUCAAUUCAACAUUAACAAGCAAAACUAGGCUAUAUACUUACUGUUCCUUCAAGCAUCUUCAACAAUGCCUGCUGGACGCCCUCUCCGGAGACAUCUCUACUAAUGUUGAGGCUUUCUGCCUGGAAAUAUCAGUAUAAGAGGAAUCAGCUAAACUGACUCAUGAGAAGUCACUAGAGAAGUUUAAUCUUAAAAAAAGAAAAACAAACUCUCAAUAAGUGACUAACCUUUUUCGUGAUCUUGUCAACUUCAUCAAUAUACACUAUGCCUUGCUGAGCAGCUGCUACAUUAUAGUCAGCAACCUGCAAUAAAACCAGAUAAGAGUAAUUAAAUGAUAACUCAUAUCAAGGCUAGAAAUCACUGAAAGGACACGCAAAGUCACGAGUUCUGAUUAAGAAGCAAGAGCACUUCACAAGUAGUAACCCCUUGUCUUUCCUCCAUUUGUAAGUUCGCUUAGUUAGAUAUUGCAGUGAUUUCUGGAGAAAAUGUGAGUUUUGUAUGAUAUGGAAAUAGUUAAGACGCAUAAAACAGAAGAAAUUAUAGAAACAGAAGAAAAAAGGUUGCAGCUGGUACUAUAAACUUCUGGCCACCUCAUUGCUAAGGGACGAAAGAUCCUACAUCUACUCCUUGUACUAAAUGUUUUGUUGUAGAAAGUUCAAAAAGCUUUGGUAAAAUAGGAAAUAAACUAGACCAUUUUCUUAUAUUCAGAAGCUUCAUCUGUCACAUUCUGCAAAAUCAUCAGAUAGACAGUAAUCUGCAUUAUAUCCCAAAAGCAAGUUUUAAAGCAGAGAUAUAAAUUGGCAAGGAUGCUACGAUAACAAUGAUAACCCCCCCGCCCAAGAAAAAAAGCUCAAGACAAAGAAAAAGAGAACAGGAAUAGAACAAUAAAUUAAGAUUAUAGGCUUAACAGGUUUAGUACUUACUGUGAGGAGCUUAUAUAGAAUAGAUUCCACAUCUUCCCCAACAUAUCCUGCCUGCAGACAAAAGUAUUAUCAUUGACUGGAUUUCUAAGAACAAGUAUACCAUUAAACUGAAACCCACAGCUUCAGGACAAUUAUCAAGGAAACAUUAUUUUUAUGGGACACUUGCCAAUAUGUACAGUUCGGCCAAACUUAUUUACCAAUAUGGCUAAAAUAGACAAAACCUAUACACUGAUUAUAUAUUUUGUACUUAAAUAUACGAAACUUAUACAUUUGUGGGCUAUUUUGUAAACUAGAUUACCCAAAGGCAUUGGACUGUAUAGAUCCCUACUUUUAAUGAUACCAUCAUGUUGUUUAUGCUACUCUACUUUUAUGAAAGACACCAACAAUUAAGCUCUGCAAACAGGGAAAGCAAGGAAUAGUAAACAUGCUCAGACCAAAUUGACCUAGACACCAGGAAAUUCUAGUUAUAUGAUCUCAAGAUAGACUUUAACUAACAGUGGCAUCUCAUUUCAUGAUAGCCUAAAGUUCGGAUACCAAGUGUCAUCGAUCUAUACACAUGCUUAGGUGUCAAUAGUCUUGGAAUGUCAAAAUCAAGAACAGCCUAUCUACUUUUGUCUUCGGGCUACUCAUGAACUUCCACAGCUCCAGAAAGUUGAACCGGGAAAUUUGGGUUUGCCUAAUCAUCAUUAGAGCAGCUAUUCUUUAUUCUCCAUCUUCUUACAACCUCACUUCAUCAACUUCUUUUUUCAUCUUUCUCAGUUCAGCUUCUACGGAGAAUCUUUACCAUGAUUUUGUCCCCACAAAAGUUCCUCAUGCGCACCAAUCUACUACAGUCCUCAAUGCCAACACUACUGCUCAAUAAACUCUCACCUUCAAUUGAUGAAAACAGGUCUCUUCCAUUCUACAUUUACACUGAAACAAACUGCAAAACCAGCUCAGCUGUAGCUCCAAAAGAGCUAAUUUAUAUUUCUCACCAUCUCCAAUGGUCAAAUUUUAAACAAGUUAACAACAACAUACGCAGUCUAUUCCCGCAAGUGUGAUCUCGGGAGGGUGGGCUGUGUGCAGACCUUACCCCCGCCCCCUCAAUUUGUGGGGUAGAUAGGUUGUUUCUGAAAGAUCCUCAGCUUAAGAAAAUUUCAAAGAAUUUCACACACACAAUAUAUGUGCAAGAGUAACAAAUAUGUAAGGGAGAAAUUAUGUAUUAAAAUAUUGAAAUAAGAAAGUUGGAUUUUAAGGACAGUGUUUGACAUAAUUUACAUUAAGGUAACGAGAUUUACAGAAAUAUUGGUUCUAUUGAAAGAUUAUUAAGCUGAGAGUUGUUUCCUAUCUCUACCAAGGUGACAGGAUGACAACAUACCUGAGUUAGUGUUGUAGCAUCUGCUAUUACAAAGGGAACAUUCACCAAUCGAGCCAAGGUCUUGGCAAGUAAAGUUUUCCCUGUCCUUGAUAUGACACAAAGACUCAAGUGAAAAAGUAAUUUUAUUAAAACUAAAGAUCACACUACUAACAAUGAUAAUGACAUUGUUAGAGCUCUACCCAUUCACACCUUCCCCUCCAAUGAAAAAAGCAGGGGGCCAAGAUACUUUGAUGGGCUAAAAGGAUGAAAGAUAAAAGAGAAAUAUGCAUUUAAAUUACUUUAUCAUUGGUCUUAACGCAAAGCUCACGUGGCACUCUCUUCAUCAUGGUUUUAACUUUCAUAUACUUCACCCAAAAAAAAAAACACUUUCAUAUACACAGUCAAAUAUUAUCUACAUAUCAGUGCACAUGCAUAGAGUUAUUUGACAUUAUGAAGCAAAUGAUGAGCAUUAGCUAGAGACCAUCAUAUCACCACUAUAAGUAAAUAGCACCUCACAGUAUCUUCUGAAAAACUUCACAACUAAAAAGAAAAAGAAAGCGGGAGAAGGAGGGGGGGAUUUCUCUGUCGGUGAAUCUAAAGUACCAUACUUCAAAGGUAUGUUUAUUUAAAAUGCUUCUAUACCACAUUUUAGACCUCAAGAACAGCAGUGACAAUUAUAAAGAUUACCUGAACCUGUUGGCCCCAUUAAAAGGAUGUUACUCUUCUCAAGCUCCACGGAUUCAUGUUCUACUCCAUCUGUUUUUUCACUACUGUCAUUUGCAGCAGGCCUAGGUACCACAUUUUAACAAUAGCAUUAGAAGAAUAGGUAACCACUUAAGUGAAGAGCCAUUAACUCAUUAUGCGGGGAGAGGACUGGUGAAAAAAUAUCGGAAGUUCAAAACUAACCACUUAUGUGAAGAGUCAUUAUAUAUUCUCUUGUAAUGAUUAUAUACAGCGACAGACAGAACCUGCACAAUCACAAAAUGAUAAAGAAAGUCACUCUAGCAGCUCAAAAAUAGUUUCCUUUACUAGAUCUCAAGCACCCUAUGACACAAACUGAGCUCAUUUAUUCACGUUGUAACCAAUAAAGCAAGCAUAAAAUCAUCAAGGUAUAAAAGGGCAGCCAAGUGUGCACUAAAGCUCCCGCUAUGUGCAGGGUCGGAGGAAGGGCCGGACCACAAGUGUCUAUCGUGCGCAGCCUUGCAGCAACUUUACCUGUUACCAAGGCUCCCCUUCAUUUAUCUUAUCUAUGACUCAAACGGUACCCAGAACUCCAAAAAAGAUUACCUUUUUAGCUCUCUCCUGUCCAAUUACAAACUUAUCAAGUCCUUUACACAAUUGCUUUGGAGUAGGAAAUUGGGUACCCAAAUUGGACCCACCCCAAGACCCAUCUUUCGACCCUGACCCAAACCCACUUCCAGAACCCGACCCGGUACCUUCGCCUUCACCCACCUGAACAAACUUCACACCAGGACGAACCACAAUUCCUUCACCAGGUUGUUGCCAAAUCUCAGGAGGUUCACCAUAAUUACUACCAGACAUACUAAUUUUCUCUUUAGAACUCUUCUUCCUAUUGGAAUUCUUAAAAUUAUCACAACAUCGGUCGACAAAUUCACCGCGAAACGAAACAGGCUUGAAUAAAGAAGAAGUAUGAGCACCACCAGAAUUUGAAUUUGUAAGCAAAUUGUCCCAUUUGGUUCGAUUACACAAACGACCGGUGUGAAAAUCAUUGAUGAUAAAGUAUCUGAAGUGGGUAAUAGCCAUAGAGGCUGAUGAUUUCGAUCUAAGUGCAGCUGCUGCCAUAUUGACUAAAACUUCAAUAAGGGGAAAACAAGAAAAGUGAAAUUUCAAGAUUCUGACAAGACAAUUUCAAGAUUGGAUUUUUGUCGGAAAAGAGGAGACUUUUGUGUCCAUCAGAGAGAAUUGAGGGAAUUUUAGCUAAGGGAGAUUUUGAGGAUUUUUCUAGAGGAACAGAGAAGGGUAUUAAAUUGGAGUAAUAAUAAUAUCUAAAAGAGUGAAAGAAGGCAAAAGAAGUCGAAGUUACUUUGGGGAAUAUCUAUUCUUGGCGCAUUCUGUCCUACUGUCCUACAUGAAGUAAGGAACGAUGUCGUAAGUCACUUGGUUUCUUGUCAUUCCUUCCUUUUGGUGGGUCGAGGGGGGUUGAAAGGUAGGUAAGUUCAUCUUCAUUUGAAUCAAACAUUACUUGUAAGCUUCAUUCAGAUUCUCUCUCUUUUAUCAAAUUUGAGAUUUUUACAUCUUUUGAAAAUUAUCAUGUUCGGAUUAGGAAAGAAGAUUAGCAGCAAAUCAAAUGUGCAGCUGUUAGUGGGUAGGACUUUGUCCUAACUAGCAAUCAUAGUGUUAUGUUUGGAGUUUAUUGUUGUUUCAUUACUACGUUUGUAUUGAGUUACUCUCUAUUGUUUCUGGUACUCUAUUACAUCUUUUCUAAAUUAUUUUUUUAUUUGAAGCCAAAGUCUAUUGAAAAUAAUCUAUCUACCUCACCUCUGAGGUAGUGACGGGAGCGAACCUCUAUACUUUUUUUGGUGCUCCAACACCCGUUAAAUCCGAUACAGACUAGAUCUAAUUACAUUAAAAAAAAGUAUAAAAAUUGAUAGAAGCCUCAAAAAAGCACUCAGAAAACCACGAAGAUAAACUGGAUGCUUUAAUUUUCUAGCGAAAUCUUAAAGUUUUGAACAUCAAUAUAUGUGUUCGAACCUCACGAGCACCCACGACGUCUAAAUUUUGAAUCCGCUACUGAUAAUCUUUCCAAACUUCACUUUCUAUGAAUACACGAGUGGUAUGUUAUUGUUUUCAUAUAUACUAUAUUGAAGAACUGUAUCGACCAAGAGCGGAGGAAGAAAAAGAACAAUUAUCGGUUGAAAUCUUGGAAUUUUCACCCACUUUCAAAGAAAUUAAUCUCUACAAAAGAUUUUUUCGUUAAGAUUAUAUCUAUGCUCUAACUUACUAGGCGCCCGCCCAUCAGCAACUGCAAAUUCGAGAACUUGGUGAACUGAAACUCUAUACAAAAAGGGAAAAUGUACAUCUCUGUCAUGAUACACAUGCUAGAGUAUCAAGAAGUUGUGAGCUAAAAACAUCCUUCUUUUUUUGCUUUAUGCAUUCAAGUAUUAGAAACACACUGGCUUGACUAAUCCGAAAUCUCACCAAGUAAGAUCCCCCAAGAGGGAAAGCGAUCAACAUCAAAGCUUCCUCCGCUCUUAAGGCUCUAACUCGAAAAUUCUGGUUAAGGAUGGAGGAUCUCAUAUAAUCCCACCACCCCCUAAGGAGUUGGAACAAAUAUAUCAGUCUUCUUGAUUCUCUUGUAUUUCCCUCCACCAAUAAAGUAGAAUUUGUCAUAUUUCCUUGAGGAUAAAUAUAUUGCACUUGGAUUGAACAUCAAUGAGAUGUUCUUUCUACUCUUGCAUUUCCUGUGAAAAUGAGUUCGUUACAAGCUUCAAUGAGCCAAAAAGACUUGUAAAUGAACGCCUCAAGGGAUUAUUCUACAGAGACGAAAAAAAGUAAGACAAAAACAGAAAUGCCUCACAAUGCUAUCAGAGAUUAGAAUCAAAAAAAUAUUCUCUAUAGAACUUCAAAAUCCUCAUAUUUAACAGCGGGCUGCAGCCUUUAUUCUUGGUUACUACAGCUGAUGGGUCCUAAAUCCAGGCCUUCUGCAAUAGAGUUCCCAGUUUCGGCAGCAUGUUCUCGCAGUUGCGAUUCAUCACAAGAUAGAGGAGCACUGCCAAAUGAAAUACAAAGUUGUACAUUCCAAGAGUAUGAAUAUUGAAGAGUCAAAUUCCAAGAUGCCUCUAAUCAACCAUUUAACGGUAAGAUUUUAUAUGCGACAGAAAUGCAGGGGUAGGGGAUUCUUCAAUUAUGUACAUUGGUUCUCUACUGACAACUUUUCUCAGGACAAAGAGACAGUAGUUGAAGAGAAACACAAGCUCUGAGAAGGGCCAAAAGAUUCUUAGGCUCGCCACUAUGCAAAGAAAAACUACCACUUUCCUGAGAUUUGGGGAAAAAUCAUUUUAUCUCAGAAGCAAUAACAUGAUGAUUGGGUCAACCGGCGCUCCUCAGACCAACUUAUUGAGUAGAUAUUUAUAUUCAUUCUUUUGUGAACUUCAAAACUUUGUCUAUUGACAUUCCUAUGGGCCUAGAGGCCUAGACAUUGUGGUUCUAUCACCAUGAGCUCUUGAACCAUUUAAUUUAAGGUGUCCGCCUGGAGCUCCAACUGAAAGUUCUGCGUUAUUAUCAAUUACUGCCAUUCAGGAGACAUUUGUGGCUUAUGGUGUGACAUCUAAUUUCACCUAAACUAGUUCAGCUGUCAAAGUAGUGACAGAUUAAAUUUCUAACCCAGUUGGUCAAAGCAGUUGAGGAAUGUAAAGCAUUGACUGAAACUCAGAGCGGUGCACCAAGCAUCCCACAUUCAUGCAGGGUUGGGGGAAGGGCCGCACCCCCUAAAGGGUGUGAUAUAGGCAGCCUAUCCUUUGGGAAGAAAUCCAUAGAAAAAGAGCCGAAAUUUUGUGGAGAAAUCCAGGCAAAAAAUUCUAGAACUUUUUUUUUUUAAUUAAAGUAGAUUCAGUAAAAGGCAUCAAGAAGAUGCAAGGGUAACAAGGAUAGAACAUUUAAGCUCACACAAAAAAAAAAAAGGAUUAGUAGCUUCUCUCAAAAAAAUUAGAAAUUUUAUCUGCACUGCCUACUUCUCCAGUGUAAUAGUUUAGUUCAUUUCUUCUUUAAUAUGCAUCAUUUUCAGCAAUAAACUGACAUCUUUGUUUCUCGUGAAAUGGUGAAUCGAAAAAUAAACUGGUGUUAAUUUUCCUUUUCAGAGAAACAUGGGAAUGCCGUGAAGAACAUGACCACGUAAUGAAAAACUUACUAAGAACAUGAUCAAGUAACAAAAAACUUACUUAAGUUUUACCAACAGGUUUGUGGCUUCAUUAAUAGCAGAACUGGCAGCAUAAAGCCCUAACUUCUUCACCUAUAACAAUAUCAUCAAACAAUCAUUUAUACAAAAGAUAAGCACAUUUGAAGAGCAUGAUUCAUCACAUUUUUUAAGCUCGUGUCUGACCAAAAAUAGUUUCUUACAUUUUACAGUUUCGUACCAGGGAGUAGCAUAAUAGUAUACCCAUCACUUACCGUUAGUCAUCAAGUGCCAAAUGUGAAUCAAGAAACCAGAAAGAAUUAACUGAUCAAGUCUGAUUUCACAUUGAAAAGUGCAGAUUUUUUGUCUACAAUCGUUGAUACCAACAUUUGACUACCGUAAAUGCAGGGUAAAGGACAAGGGAUGGACAAUAUCUUGAUUUGAAUCAUAAACACCAUAAAUGCAGGGUAAAGGACAAUGGAUAGACAAUAUCUUGAUUUGAAUCAUAAAUGCAAAAUGUCAAAUAUGAUUUUCAAGCCAGGUCAAACUCACAGAACACGUAAAGAUCCAGUGGAUGAAGAUUGAACCAACCAAAAAGCGGGAGACAAAGAACCUAAACAUAAAAAACAUGGUGCCAGCGAUACCUUCAAUGCUUAAGCUUUACACUAAACACACACGCACAAUAUUAAGUGUCGUCAUUUAACCAUAAAAACAAGUUCAAGCUAGCAAAUGAUUCUCAAAUCGGGCAUUUCCUAAAUGAGUGAUGCAACACCUGAGCUUAAUUAUGUGAAGAGAUGAAUAAUCCUUCUUACACUUCCUAGCAAAUGUCUUCUAAUUUCUUCAGCAAAGGAAUGUAGUAGCCAGUUAAGCUAUUCAAUUAUAAAAUUGAUUCCGAUCCUGGUGGACUGCCGAGCUACAAGUCCUACGGCCCAAGAGCGGGAUUCUCUAAAAAGCCAAGGUCGUGGGUGGCCAUGUUUUUGGCAUGAAAGAUCCAGCCUUUGUUGACCCCCGGUAGAGCGAGUCUACUUAGCGAACUGGCAGGACUCGGAGUUGGAAGUUCUGUACUCUUUAUGAGAAAGGCAGAUACAAAUGUUGAAAGAACUUUCAUUUAACAUGGCAAAGCUAUGAUAUUGAUGUAUGGGAAAUGUAUCAGACAAAUCUACUGAAACUGUUCAAAUAAAGUCCAUUUGCCAAAGUCGCAUGAAUUGCAAGUCAGCAUAUAGAAGAAAAAUACUUUUUAUAUUUACAAUUCUUCUGAAGAUCCUUUUUUGGAAGAAAAAGUAAAGGAUGGAAUGUAAAAUUAGAAUGAUGGAGAUGCAUUAACGUUUCAUUUAUAUGUUUCAGAAAAGCUUCAGGAUAACAUCCCAUAGCAUCGCUCAUCUUUUUGUUUGGGGUCCUAGCAUCACUCAUCUUUUUGUAUGGGGUCCUAUUCUACUAAGUAGUAACACUCGGUCAAAAUCUUCUUAAGCAGAUUGAAGUAUCUUCCUGUGAUUUACUAAUGCAUAGUGUCGAAAUAGUGUUUAAUUCAGAAUGCAAAAUAACAUUUGUGCUGUGAUAUGCAAUUAAUGAAUGUACCUCCAAUAUAUCUUGCUUAGAUCGGUGGGUUUUGGGGAGCAAGCGAAACUCCUCCGUCAAACGAAUACACUCUUGAACAUUUUCCGGGGAUACAAAGUCAACAGCAACCUUGAUACAUGACUGUCAAAGUAUAAUAGCAGUAGAUGAAUGAAAGAAUCAUUACCAAGUGCAGUACAUCAAGAUCUGAACACAGAUAGAAGCAGCAAUAGGAACAUUUUACCAAACAAAGAAUCAGAAAAUGAAAUAUUGCAGAUGCUAUAUCUCAUGUAGCACUAAAAUGUGUAUAAGGGACUUCAAGUAGUAUUAAUUCCAGAACCCGUUGGAGAAAGAAAGAAAUUGUAAGGACCUGAGAUGAGCUACAGUAUAAAGACACAAAACUGUUCUAGCCAGAGUCAGAUUCAGCUUAGAUCCAAUUCCAAGAAGGGAGAGCUCAGACUUUGCUUCAGUCACAGGCUUCUUAAAUUAUCAAAGCUAGCAGAUAUUUGGCUCAAAGUCAUCAAUCAAAUUCAAAAUUCUAUUACUUAAAUAAUGUUGUACUAUUUUAAGUAUUGUCUUAUAACAUGAUCAUGCACUGUCAAACUAUAACAAGUUUUGAUAUUCUGAAACAUGUUCCUUUUUGCAUAAAAUUGAAGAAUAUAGUGCUUUUAGCCCCAAUAAGUAUGCAGGAGCACCAAAACUUCAUGUUUUGGCCCAGUUUGAGGUGUAACACCGUGAAAUUCGACUGAAACUUAGCUCUUCUCUCCGGGAAGAUACUUGGGUCGAGCAAGGUUCUUUGAAACACCUAUUUCCAGAUCUAUAUUUGUUAAACCAACAAAAGGAUGCUACACUAGGUGAGGUCUGGAGAAAUCAAUGAUGGAAUCUGAGUUUCAGAAGAUUAUUCAAUGACUGGGAAACGGUGAGGGUCAUAGAAUUCUACAAGAUCCUAGAACAAUUCAAAGGGCCAUCAGGAACUAAAGACUGUUUGAUAUGGCAGGGCAAUAAAUAUGGCAAGUUCACAGUAAAGGGGGCCUAUAAGGAAUUCAGCAGUCGUAUAAACCAUUCUGGUAGAUGGAAAACCAAAAUCCCGUUGAAAGUAGCAUGCUUUGUCUGGCUCUUAUCAAAACAAGCAGUCUUAACCCACGAAAACCUUAGUAAAAGAGGUUUUAAGCUUUGCUCAAGACGCUACUUGUGUGGUGAAGAGGUGGAGACAGUAAAUCAUCUUUUCCUACAUUGCAAGACCACCCCGCAGUUAUUGAGGCUAUUUAUCAACAGGAAAGGAAUGUUUUGGAUGAUGCCUGGGAGAAUUGUCCAUGCUUUGUAAAUCUGGGAUAGCUGCAGCAGCCUCUCUAGCCAGAAGGAAAGAUGGAAAAUUAUCCCUGCUUGUAUCUGGUGAGCAGCGUGGAAAAAAAGGAGUCCAAGAUGUUUUGAGGACAAGUACUAUUCUGUUCAGAAGCUGAAAAUGAAUUGAUUGGUGUUGUUCUAUUUUUGGUGUAAACAGGAAUACAUGGAAAAUCUAGACUCAAUCAUGGAUGUUUUAGGAUCCUUGUAGGUUUUUGAUAUAGGAUUAGGCGAUCUUCCCUGUAAUCCCUUUGUAACCAUGGAUACCUGCAGUAUUAAAGCAGGUUUGAUUUUGUGACAUAGUACAAAUGUUAGCUUUUCAAAAAAAAAGUUUAGCUCUUCUCGGUUUGAAUACAUAGUUUCAUUUAUUGCUGGACUGCACCGUCUUUUGCAGGAAAAUUGGAGGUGAUCAGAUAUGCCAGGAAGGAAUCUAUAGUUACUCUAUAGAAACAACUAGCACUGCAAUGAACUAAAAGUAAGGGGGAUUAACAAGAUAAAUCCAUUGGAAAACAUAACCAACACAGACCAUACUACUGAUGAAAUACAAAACCUCUGAUACUACAAAGUAUGCAUAGUAAAGACUGGGACUUUCACCUGUCUAUUUCUCACUUGAUGUGGGCACCCUGCAGGAAUAAAAACAGCUUCACCAAGGUACUGUUCAAACGUCCAGGGCUCAACGUCUGUAGAGCACAAGAGAGAGAACGGUGGGGUUAGAUACCCUUCCAAAGACAUUACCUACUGUUUUCAGAAUCAACUAAGGAAAAGAGGGUUCUUACUGAACUCCUCCUUGAGCUGUCUUUUGUGCUUCUCAUUCAAAUAGAACGUCUGGUCAUGGAUAGGGUGAAUAACCUAGGAGUGAAAGCAAGGAGUAAAUUCAAUGAUUCAGCACUUUGUGAUAUCAUCAAAUUUGGAGUGCAAGAUACUUACUGAAGCCACGGGAGAAUUGUUAAAAUGGCGAAAUUCUCUCCAAUGCCUCUGCAAGUAUUCUAUUAACUUGGGUACAUCUUGUCUGCGAAAGAUGUCCCAUACUGCACCCCCACAUUCAACUUCUGCACAAUCUUGCUUGGUUUCGAGAGCUACAUUCGCUUCUACUAUCGCCAAGGCGUUGCUACUUGGGUUUAUCUCAUUAGGUGGAGAAGUUCUGCCAGAAGUAUCAACGUAAUCCAUAUCAGAAAUUAUAUUUUCUCCUUUAUUAAUAUCUUUCCCCUUGUCCAUAGUUUCUAUCAAGCAACUUCUGUUAUUGACAGUGCUUUCCUCAGAAUAAAAAUCAAUAGUUUCAGUUCUGUCAAAUCUUUGAGAAUCUGGUGCCUCAGCUAUGCCUGGACAAAGUUCCUUUGAAUCUUCAACUUCUUGUUGCUUCCUUAAUUUCUCAAUGAUUUCAUGUUGCUUGUGAUCAACAUUUACUUUGGUCGUAUGAGUCAAGAUGUUGACCUGAAGAACAUACACAAAAACUUAUUGUUUUAUUGGUGUAACAUGACAAUUGCAAAUGACACAGAGGCUAAGCUUUUUAAGCUCACUACACAACCUGAAAGUAAGGCCAAAAUUUUACCAAUCCCAAAAAAAAAAAGAAAAAAGAAAAAACAACACGCACAAAACUUGAAGUGAUCAAAAGGUUGAUCAGAUAAAGUAGCACUGAGAGGCUAUGCUGCUCGGACUCUUCAAAAAUGCCGUUGGGUGCAUGUCGGAUCCUCCAAAAAUAGUAUAUUUUUGAAGGAUCCGACACGGUUGCGGCAACAUCUUUGGAGAGUCUGAGCAACUUAGCUGAGAGGAAAACAGUGAUGUGUUAUGAUGAGCUGACCAGCUCCAUGGAAUUCUGCCCUUACCAGCUCCUCAAAAAAUUUAUUUCCCAAAAACAAAAUUUCCCCAACCAGCAUGCUUAUUACUUCUCAAAAUAUAAAAAUUAAUCUGGAUUUUAGGUCUUCCCAAUCUAAGAUUGAAAAAUCAUAAAGAUUUGAAAGUUUUUAAUUAAAUUAAUUGAACGAUAGGAUUUGUUUCCAUAUAGGCAACUACUGUUCAUUUAGGUACAGUAUUUCACAUUAUUUAUCAGUGUAACUUCAUUUGCAACUUCUAAAGUAUAUGAUUAUCAGUAACAUUUCAGAGAAAAUAAUGUCCUAUGGUUUAUACCUAAUCAAUAAAAAGUACUAGUCCAACCGUACACUUGCCUAUUGAAGCAACGGCAGAUUCUGGUCUCAACGGAAAGUUUGCACUAGAAUGUAUGUCAGUAUAGAAUUUGGGAAAGGGAUGCAAGCCCCAUGAAAAGCAAAAUAAAAUCAGUCAAACAGGAACAUGGAAUAGAUUCAUCGAAUAGUUGUUGGAAUGAGCAUACCGCAUCAGAGAUAUCACAGUGCAGCUUUGAGACAGAAUCACCUCUCCCAAGCUCUUCUUGAUAUCCAUAAGCAAUAUAAGUUUUCGGUCCCAAGUCUGGCUUCAGGGCAGUAUCAGGAAGCUUAGUGGCCAAAUUUAGAAGACCCUGUCUAGGAUGAGUGUAUUCGCUGAAGGGAAGCAUAGCAAAAAAGUCAGCUCCAUGCCUUGGCAAACAUUCUUCAAAAGAAUUAGCCGGAGGCCAAUCCUUCAGUUUCAAAAUUUCUGGCCACCCAUUGUGAUGCCUGCGACCCUCCAAGUAGCCCUUGAAGAACUGAUGAAUAUUUAUCUCAACCUGCAUUAUAAAAUAAUAAUGUUAAUAAUAAUAAUUAAAAAAAAUAGUAGUAAUAAUAAUAAUAACAACACAACAAGAUUCAUUUUAGGUAAACCAGCAAAUCGUUAUCCUUGUAAAGUGCAAAUAACAUACACAAACCAAAAUAUUAAAUUAGCACCAAACUGCGAGGAAAUGUAAAUGCCAACUCUAUACUUCUUUCAUUUAAUUUUUUUUUUUGGAUAAUUUUCCAAUUCUAAAAUGGAAAACUGCAGUUUUGUCAGGUACGGCAAAAGACACAAGAGACCAACUAGCAGAUGUUGGGGUAAAAUCACGCAAAAGAUAAUUUCCCAGAUUCAAAUUCAUUUUGGAUAGAAAAAAGGUUCAACUGCAUUCAGCCAGCGGAGGUCAGAUUAAAAAGUAGCCAUGAUGAACAAUGCAAUGAAACUUGACGGGAAUAAAAAAUAGAGAAAGGAAACUAGCAACUCAUGAUAUAUAUAUUACACACACACACUAGUUCCACAAGGCCCAUCCUAAGUCCGGGCCCAAUCUCAAGAUAUAAAAGCAGUAAUUUUAAUUUAACAUAUAAUUUGUUAUAUACUUUUUACUUUAUAAUUAAUAUAAUGUAAUGACAUGUUAAACAUUAGAGUUGAGGUUGAGGUUGAGGUUGAGGAGGAUCGUGACUAUUUUAGAGAAUCAGUUUGGAUUCAUGUCAGGUCGCUCGACUACCGAGGCCAUUCAUCUCAUGAGGAGAUUAGUGCAACAGUAUAGGGAGAGGAAGUAUAGGGAGAGGAAGAAGCACCUUCACAUGGUGUUUAUCAAUCUAGAGAAGGCAUUUGACAAAGUUACCAUGGCAUACACUAGGUCGAUUAAGGACAUGUACGAUGGAGCGAAGACUUCGGUGAGAACGGUUGGGGGAGAUUCGGAACACUUUCUUGUUUUGACAAGGUUGCAUCGACUCUUAGUAUGUGCUUAUUUGCUUUGGUAAUAGGUGUAUUGACGCGACAUAUUCAAGGGGAGGUGCCUUAGUGCAUAUUAUUUGCAAAUGAUGCAGUUCUAAUUGAUGAGAAUCGGGGAGGUGUUAAUGUUAAGUUGGACGUUGGGAGACAAACCCAAGAGUAUAAAGGGUUUAGGUUGAGAAGGACGAAAACGAAAUACUUGGAGUACAAGUUCAGUGAGUUGAAGCAUGAAGCGAACGUGGUAGUGAAGCUAGAUUCCCAAGCCAUUCGGAAGGGAGAUAGUUUCAAGUAUCAUAGCUCUAAGAUCCAAAGAAAUGGAGAGAUUGAUGAGGACGUCACACACCAUAUUGACAUAGGAUGAAUGAAACGAAGACUCGCUUCUGGAGUUUUUGUGUGAUAAAGAAGGUGCCUCCUAAACUAAAAGGCAAGUUCUAUAGAGUGGUAGUCCAACCGGCUAUGUUGUAUGGAGCAGAGUGUUGGUCAAUUAACAACUCUCAUAUCCAAAGUUGAAGGUGGCGGAGAUGAGGUUGUUGCGAUGGAUGUGAGGACUUACUAGGAGAGAUAGGGUUAUAAAUGAGAUUAUUCGAGAGAAGGUGGGAGUGACUUCGAUGGAGACAAGAUAGGGGAAAUGAGGUUGAGAUGAUUCAGACAUGUGAUGAGGAGGUGUACGGAUGCCUCGGUUUGAAGGUUGGAUAUGGAUGAUUUUAGGCGGGGUAAAGGUUGACCAAAGAAAUAUUGGAGGGAGCUGAUUAGACGUGACAUAAAACAGUUACAGCUUAUGGAGGACAUGACCCUAGAUAGAAAAGUUAAGUGGACGCGUAUUAGGGUAAUGGGUUAGUAGGUUGGAUGUCCUUACUAGUAGGUAGGAGUGCUUUGUUUGUAGUUGGGCCAUUGGUCGUGCGUGCUAUGCGUGUGUCUGGUAAUUUUCUGUUCUUAGUGUCUUAUAACUACUUUGUGGGUAUCUUGUUUAUGUUAUUAUAUAUUGGUGUGCUAUUCCAUUUUUGUUUUUAUUAUGUCUUUUUACUGUUUGAUGUCCUGAGCUGGGAGUCUAUCGAAAACAACCUCUCUACCUCAUCCAAGGUAAUGGUAUGGACUACGUACACUUACCCUCCCCAAACCCACUUUGUGCGAACACACUGAAUAUAUUAUUGUAAUGACAUGUUAAACAUGUCUUGUUAUCUUGUUUAUGUUAUUAUCUAUUGGUGUGCUAUUCCAUUUUUGUUUUUAUUAUGUCUUUAUACUGUUUGAUGUCCUGAGCUGGGAGUCUAUCGGAAACAAACUCUAUAACUCAUCCAAGGUAAUGGUAUGGACUGCAUACGCUUAGCCUCCCCAAACCCACUUUGUGCGAACACACUGAAUUUGUUGUUGUAAUGACAUGUUAAACAUGUCUUGUUAAUUGUUUAGGGUUGAAUGUCUUGUUAAUAAGUUUUCCUGAUUAUUAAAAUUUUUAAUCACGUAAUGAGAUAAUUUUUAAGAAAAAAAUAUUUGUGAGGAAGAAAGUAUUACCAAAGAAUUAGAAUAUAUCAACGACCACAAGUAAUUCGAUAAUGUGUAACAUACCAUGAUUUAAAAUAGUUAAAUAAUUAUGAUUUGGCGAAGAUCAUACAUAGAAAAAUAUUGAUAUUUCUAUGAAUUUGUGAGUAUCUAAUUGUUUACUUAUAAAUAGAAAUAAAUUUAUUUUGAUAUUUAUUGAGUUUUAAUUUCGUUCUUUAUUUCAUGUUGCAAGCGUUUUUGCAGAAUUCAUUUUUUUUCAUCUUAUAGAAUCAUCUAAUACAACAAAAUAUAUCAAUUACUUCAAAUUUAUAUUAUAAUAAUUAUAACCGUAUUUUAGAGCUUUUACACAAAUUAACUUCAUAAUAAUCUAUAAGGAAGGAUACUAAAUAAUAAUCAAACUACAUUAAUAGAUUACUCUAUUCGGUCCAUUUACUUGUCAUGUUUAUGUUUUACACACACCCAAAAAGAAUACCUUAUCCAUCCUAUUUUAAUUAUUGCUUUAUCUUUUUCCAUGCUUGCUAAGAAAAAUAAUAAAUACAAGGUAUUAAGUAACCCUAUUUAUUACUCUCUCGGUUUCAAAAAGAAUGACCUAUUUUGAAUUGGCACGGAGUUUAAGAAAAUAAAGAAGAAUUUUGAAUCUUGUGCCCUUAAAUUAAACUUGUGUCAAAUAUACCAAAAUGCCCUUUAAUCUUGUGGUAUUAAACAUGACAUGUGGAAAGUUGAAACUAAAGUAUUGUCAGAAAAGGAAAGGGUCAUUCUUUUUUAAACUGGCUAAAAAGGAAAGUACGUUCUUUUUGAAACAAAGGGAGUAUAUGUUUUUUUCAAAAUUGUACAAUAUUAAUAAGAAAUAUUAGAGUGUAGUUGAAAAUCAUUGCAAACUUUAAUCUUGUAUUAAAAGUUAUUUGGCAUAAUUUUUUGAGCUAAAGUAAUCGUUCAUUAAAGAUAAAUGGAGAUUUAAUUAAAAGGUAAUUUAAUAAGUGACAAGAAGGGACAAAUAACAAAAGUCCAAGUAGGAAUGAUCUUAACAAAAAUAAUAAGUGCAAAAAUGGAAAUAUAUCAGAAAAAUACACCAGUAAUUGUCAUGUGUGCUUGACAAAUAAAAGUGAAAUACUUAAAAUGUCAUUUGUAAGGACUACCAAAAAUUGAUAUCCUUUCUUAUACUAGAUACAUUAGCCCAUGCAAGCAUGGGCCCCAUAUAAGUUACUUUUCGGUUUCAAUUUAUGUGAUAUCGAUAAAAUUUCAAGACUCAAUGAAAUUUUUUAUAUAUUUUUAAAAAUAUUUUAAAUUGCUAAUUAUUGUGAUUUAACGUGAAAAGUAAUUGAAAAGGCCUUUAAUUAUUGUUAAUACUACAAAUGCGUACCUUUACUAUACUUUACUACUAUAUAUUCCUUCCAUUCACUUUUAUUUGUCAAUUUUACUAAUCACCAAUGCGAAAAUGAAUAAAAUAAAAUUAAUAUUUUAAAAUUAAAAUUUAAAUGGUCAAAACCUAAUAUUCAAUUUAAAAACAAAUACUACUAUUUUCAAAUUUCAUAAUUUUUGUCGACACCCGACUAAGCCGGUCUAAUUAUAUUAUCAUGUUGUUCCUUAUUCUUCAAUAAAUACUUUCUCUAUUUCAUAUUACUUGGUCUACAGAGUUAAGACGGAAUACUUGAAAUGUAAGUUUAGUGAUUUGUCGCAUGAGGCUGACGUGGUAGUGAAUCUCGAUUCUCAGGCCAUUCAGAAAAGGGAGAGUUUCAAGUAUCUUUGGUCUAUGAUUCAGGGGAAUGAUGAAAUUAACGAAGAUGUCACGCACUGUAUUGGUGCAGGGUGGUUGAAAUGGAGACUCGCUUUGGGAGCUUGUGUGAUAAGAAGGUGCCUUGCAUUCUAAGCUUAAAGGAAAGUUCUACAGAGUGACAGUCCGACCGACUAUGUUGUAUGGAGCGAAGUGUUGGUCAGUUGUUAAGAACUCCCACAUCCAAAAGUUGAACAGAAAUGAGGAUAUUACAAUGGAUGUGUGGACUUACCAGGAGGAAUAGGAUUCGAAAUGAGAUUAUUCAGGAGAAGGUAGAAGUGGCUUUGGCGGAGGACAAGAUGCGGGAAGUGAGGUUGUGAUGGUUCGGACAUGCGAUGAGGAGGGGCACGAAUGCUCCAGUACGGAGGUGUGAGAGGCUGGCUAUGGAUGGUUUUAGGCAGGAUACAGGUAGGCCGAAGAAAUAUUGAACUGAGGUGAUUAGGCAUGGCAUGGAGCAGUUACAGCUUACGGAGAACAUGACCUUUGAUAGGAAGGUACGAAGGAAGCGGAUUAGGGUAGAGAAUUAGUAGGUAGAAGUGCGUCCAUAAUAGUAGGGAAGAGUGUUUUGUUUGUAUCUGUGCCUAUAGUUUCUGGUAGUCUAUUGCUCGUGGCGUUUUGGUGAUGUCUAUCAAUUCGAAUAGUUAGUUUAUAGUAUUACCUUGUGGGUGUCUUGUUUCCUUUAUUAUCUAGCGGUAUGAUAUCUUUUUUUGUUGUUUGUUUUUAUGUUUUUCGUUUGUUAUACAGUUAUCUAUCCUGAGACGAGGGCUAUCGAAAACAUCCUCUCUACUUCACCUGAGGUAGUGGUAUGGACUGUGUAUAACCCCCAACCCCACUUUGUGGGAAUACACUAGAUAUGUUGUUGUUUCUUGUUUGUAUUUCAUAUUACUUGGUCUCUGUUGACCUAACACAUUCCUUAAGAAGUUUCUAAAGAAAUAUUUACUAAACUAACCUAUUAAUGAUGAUUUAAAAUUCAUAAUUUGACAACAGUUAUUUAUGUACUAAAAAUAGUAUGAAAAUAAUUAAUAAAACUCUCUUCAUUUAUUAAAAUAGAUAAAUACAAUGUAAUAUUUAAUAUUAGGCCAAUUAAAAUGAAGGUAGGUAUGAAAUUGAGGGAGUAAAAAUCUGCACAAAAUCAAAAUCAAAGUAGAGACCACAUCGCCAUCAAAAGGAGAAAACAAAAGAGAAGAUAAAGCUGUUAAAAGGCAUGAAACAAGGCCCAUGUAUUUUACAUUAAAUUUCGAAAAUGCCAUCCGAAGCAGCUGACCUCAAGUUGCUCACAUUCUGGCUUAUAAUAUAGAGUAAAAAUAUAGUAGAAAUAUAUAUAUACAUAUAUAUUACUAAUAUAUGUGUGUGCGCGCGCGCGCGUUAGGACCAUAACUGGGGAUGCAUAUAAGAACUAGAGAAGUCAAAUGAUGGCACUCUGUCUCCUUUUCCCCCAAGGGGGUAAUUUACACAAAUCAAAUGCAUACCUGACACCAAUCCAAGCAAUCAAUGGACUUAACACAGAAAGGCUCCUCUUUCAGCUUUUUACUUGCUUUUCUGAAGGCCCUCCACAUUACCAUGGGCUCCCAGCUAAGACCAGUGGCCUGAGCUUGUGCAUUUCUAACUAUUACAGGUUCACCAGUCCUCCAAUGCAUUUGAAAAUGCUCAAACUCGUUACCGUCAAUGUGAACAGCAUCAGGACAGUAGAGAAAAUUAUCGUGGCUGUUGUUCCUAAAAGAUGCUUGUCUUACUUGACAGUGGUUAUCACCGUUUUGUACGGAAGUGGUAGCAAGACAAAAUGAACACCCAUGUGAUAAAUCUAUAUCUGCAAGGUGGUAGUCGCAUGUUAGGGCCUCAGCACUUUGAAUUAGUUGGUCUACCCAAUUAGCGUUGAAGAUGCGCCUUAGAGCCAUUAAAGAAGAGCCACAACCACCGCGCUCUUUAGGAGGACAAGGUAUACUGCCAUCAGGUUUGGCUCUCCACUCAGCAACAUCAAAGGGCAUGUGAGUUGGACAGCCAUUAGCAAGGAGGGUCUCUGGACUUCUCCAGCCAUCUGAAGGAUUGUUUUCCUUCAAAGCUGCGAUGGGAGUAGCUUCCGCCGACUUGCUGAGAGAUGAACUGGCUUCAGUAGCUCCGAGUGGAGCACCAUCUCUGAGUUCCCGACAACAAUUGACACAGAUCUCAUACGAGCAAUCAGGAUUUGGGCAGCUUCUAUGGAAAUUGACAAUGGAUGUAUUGCAAUUAUCACUGCCAAAUAAGGAACCAUGCAUCAUUACAGCUAUUGUGUCAUGAUAAAACUGAGCUUUGGAAAUAGUAAACAUUUUGUGUAAGCUUACAUCCUUUUGUUUUCCAGAACAAACAAAUAAAGACGGUCAACAGAAACUACAUUUCAAACUAAUAAAAGCAUUUCUGAAACUUUGAGCAACCACAAUCCACAGACACUCUACUUUUCUUUAUGUAAUUAACCAUAGACAAUCAGUGUUCGUAAAUCAAAAGGUUGAAGAAAUCCUUUGGUAUCAAAGUAGAAGGUAAAAAUAAGGAGGAACGAACAAUGCAGCUUCAACAAACAGAUCAUGUAUGCAAAGGCUGCUGGAGUAAACUUUAAAGAACAGAUCAGAAACAAAAUUUACUUCAACAGGUAGAUAUUUGAACAAUCAAUCCCGCUGUUUACUCCCAUGAAGAAACAAUUUACAUCUUAUGUCCCUAUAGAUGAAUUUAUAAUAACUCAUGAGAAAUACGAGAGCUUUGGAAGGAGCAGAGCCGAGUUUCUUUCAGUUGCAGAGUAGUCUUCACUCUCUUAUUUUCUUUGGUGUAAACAGAAAGUCCCGAAUUGUAUAGUUGAUUGGGAGGAGUUUGUAGAGAAUCAUAUCUGUUUGUAGAUUCUUUACUCUUGGUAUAUCCCUGGUAACUAGUCAGUUUGUCCAUGUUCAUGAAUGAGAAUAUGUUUACUUGACCCAAAAAAAAUAAUAAUAAUAAUAAAAUAUCAUACAUGGUUUCUGAGCAUACAUAGUGCAACAAGUAAUUUACUAUUUGGGGGACCAUACCAAUACAUUCGAUCAUCAUCAUCAAUGACUGAUUUGGUAAUGUCUUCUUCUGUCAGCUGAACACCUGAAAACAACAGAGACCAGAAACAUCACUGAACAUUCUGAGCCACCAACCACAAGCAAACUUGAAAUUAUCCAAAAAAAAUUAAAUAGUACCACGAAUGUUUGCUUCAACAUCUAGCUCAAACCUCUGCUCCUUCUGAAUAUGCCUGAGGAGGGGCAGAAUGUUGAAUAGCAAAUAAAGUGAACCCUCCAAUCUCAUAUUUUCAUCAGUUUCUUUGCAGCAGUCCUGUAACCCCAAAAAACCUAGUCAUUUUCAUAUCAACUUGGACUAGUUGAUUUAUCAAAAGAAAAAGCAGAUACUUAUUUGUAAUAUCAGCAUAUGUACUGUAAAUACCUGAUCAAUACAAGAGGUAAAUUUAACAUGUUCACAGACCUUUAAGAAGACAUCUGUUUGAAGGCAAGCUCCGCAAUUGCAAUUCCCACAACAGAAAGGACAGGUGUCCCCUACUUCGUCGCUUGUUCUAUCUGGAUACCUGCUCAGUAUCUCAACAUCUUAGAAAACAUUACUAGCAAUCUCAAUUAGAAUUAACAUAGUUAGAACUUUUAUAACAAUACACCUAUAAGGAGGGGAAAAAAUAAAGACCAAACCGAGAAUCCUUUCUCUUUUGGUUUGUGAAGAAAGGAGAUUAAUUUCAUUACCACUUCGAAAUGCAAUCGUUGCAAUAGCGUUUUCUUUUGCAUCUUGAACAGAUGACAAUAGAAGCUUUAUAAUUUUUGCACUGAUGACACAAAAAGUUCCGCUGAUCCUUCCAACUGAUAGCGUCCUACAUAUAGAUACCUCAUUAGGACACAGUUUCAAAUUUAAGCCACAUGUUAUGUCCGCCACAAUAUCCCCUACAAUAUCAAUGAAAAUUAACUUUAGUGGCACUUGAAUCCUCUUUCCAAAAGCACACUCAUUUUAUGCUUCAAAAGUAUGGGAGAAGCUUUCAUGUUCAAGCUCAGGUUCAAAUUAUUUAAAUGACCAUCUGUCGCAAAUGGACCUACAUAAUAGUGUCAUAACUCAAGCUUUAUUAACUCCAUGAACAGUGUCAGGUAUCACUUAUUUGAGAACGAGCAUGACUAAAAGUUGGAUUGAGAAUUAUACGCCAGAUAUCACUAUCAGCACUCUAAUGAGUACAACGACAACAACAUACCCAGUGUAUUCCCCCAUAGUGGGGUCUGGGGAGGGUUGAGUGUACGCAAACCAUACCACUACCUCCGAAGAAGUAGAGAGGCUGUUUCCGAUAAACCCCUGGCUUAGGACCGAUAGCACGCUAAUGAGUAUGCAAAAGAAAAUAAGAUUCUUCACUUCCCUAAGGACAUUGGCCUCUGUGUUUUGAUGCGUCCAGCAGUAUCCAUUGUCUGCUUCACUAUGCUAGCUUGGACCAUUAAUAAUAAGAACUCUUUCCUCUGAUCCAAAUCACAGGUUUUAUAAAUGGACGGACACAAUUUGUUGAAUAUAGUUGGCUAUGGUAACCCCAAAAACUUCCCCAAGUCUUUAAUUGCAAUGAGAUGAUCAACAAAUUCUGAUAAACUAUAACAUCAGUUUGCAGCUCUUAAGUUCUAUUUAUAUUUGGCUUUUUAGCUUCAGUUAUUUACAAAUAAAAUUCCAUACAAUUCAUAACAAGAAGACAGGUAGGUUCGGGAAGAAGAGAUCCUGACCAAUACUCCUUGUGUUGUCAGUCCAUUUGUUUCUGCAUUAGCACCAAGUUCCUGCUCUCCUGUGGAUUCAGAGACAAUAGCAAUUCUCUUCUCAUCAUUUAAACUCUUUGGCCUCCCUCCGCGCUUAACCAUCCUGCUAACAGCAUUCUGAUAACUAACUUGACAAGGAAAUCCCAUAUUGAAAGGGACUGUCUUUUUCUUGUUCUUUGAACCUUUUGGUCUCCCUCUGCUAGCUCUCCUCUCACUGCCAUAACCUCCCAAAGCAUCCAACAAAACAUGUUCACCUGAUAUUCCCCCAUUUUCAGUGGCAACAGGAACCAUGCUACAGUAUUUCACUUUCUGCUCAGCUUGACUACCUCCUCCGUCAUCAUGCACUAUAAGUGCUCCUAGAGUUCUGUUAUUUUCUUCACUAUUAAUCUUUGCUUUCUUAUUUUUUGAACCUUUAGGCCGUCCACAUCCAUUCUUUCGCUUUAUGCUCAAAUUUACCCCAUUAGUAUCGGCAGCAAUUUCGCCUGUCAUUCUCUGAAUUUCUACAGCAUCAGAUACUACAUCCUUUUUGUUUUUCAAGCCCUUGGGUCUCGCUCGCCUACCCUUCAGCUUAGUAACCCCAUUCUCACAAGGAUUGAAGCUAUCAGUAUUAGCUUUGACGUCCUGAUCAAUCCUAACUGCUGCUUGUUUCCUAUUCUCUGAAAUUUUCAUCCCUUCUCGGCAUUUCUUCUUCUUAACCGUCUUGCUGGUGCCAUCUUCAGCAGCAUCGACAAAUGCAUGCUGAUUCUCAUCAAAUGCAACAAUCUUAUUCUCAUUUUGGGGCAGGCUGCAGCUAUCCUUCUUAGCAAUAGUAUCUUCGCUUGGAAUCCCCACCAUGUGAUCCAUUGCCAGGCUGGCCAUUUUAUUCUCAUGUUCGUUACUGAUAUUCAUCGCUCCAACUCCAUGACCAGAAUAAACAUCACUCGAGCUGCUUAUAACAGUUUUCUUUUUAUUCUUUGAACCUUUUGGCCGGCCAAGGACACCCUUCCUCCUGACUACUCUAACUGCAGAAACCAAAGCAACUUCAUUCGGGUCUCCCUUAUUAUCUUCAAUUAAAACCAUUCCCUUUUCAGCCUCAUUUAUUCUCAUAGUACCCCCAUCUUGUCCUCUAUUAUUGAGAUUAGCAUCAAUGAAAUUACCACCAGUAGUUCUCUUCUUAUUUUUUGAGCCUUUGGGCCGACCACGCCUCUUCUUGAAUAUCCUCUCUCCAUCACUGAUAGCUAUUUCAUUGCCCCCACCUUCUCCGGCUACAAAUUUUCUCUUUUCAUCAUCUUCCUUCCUGACUGCAUCCAUGUAUUCAUCUCCAUUAUUCUUAUUAGUAUCACUUGAAUGGCCUGGUAUAACUUUUCCCUUGGUUUUUGAACCUCUCGAUCUGCCACGUCCGACCUUCUUCUUGACUAUCAUCCCUUCUUCCUCAUUCAGAAUUACUCCAGUUUGACCAUCUAAUGUGAUUCUUUUCUCAUUCUCGCCCUGGCAUAUAAGAUCUACUUCAUGUCCACCAGUAGCAUUAGCAUUACUCAAAUAGCCUAAUGUGGUUUCCUUCUUAGUCUUUGAGCCCUUGGGCAGGCCUCGCUUGACUAAAUGUUUUGUGUAACCCCCUUCAUUGCUAUCAAUAUCCUUGCUUCCAACUCCAUUGCGACAAGGAACAGUCAGAGGACCUAUCAAGACUUUCUUCUUAUUCUUGGAGCCUUUGGGCCGACCAAUUUUCUUCUUGACUAUCUCAUUGUGUCCAAAAACUUGAUUUGCGCUUAUUCCGAAAUCACCAACUGCAACAGUGUCGGUUUUAGACAUUUCCUUUUCAACAAUAACAUCUGCAUUUAUCUUUCCAACACAAGUAUCAUCUAUUGGUAACACUACCACCAUUUCAUUACCAGUAACAGUUUUUUCCUCAUUCGUUGAACCUUUUGGCCUUCCUAUAGCUCGCUUCUUGAUACUCCCUUCUUCUCCACAAUCCUUCUUCCUUUCCGUGCGCUCCUUCUUGGUUCUCCUUUCUUGAUACUCCCCGAUUUGUUCUAUAUUUUUCUUUUUGUUCUUAGAACCCUUGGGCCUUCCUCCAACCUUCUUCUUCUUCACAAGCAUUUCACUACUUCCAUGGACUAAGCCAACAACUACACAUGGAAAUUCCCCAUUUUCUUCAACCUUUCUCUUCUUGUUAUUCUUGGAAUCCUUCGGCCUGCCUAGUCGCUUCUUCUUCUUCACGAGAUCCCCUUCUCCACUGUCAUCCAUCAUGCUAACUGUACCUGAAACUCCCACAUUUUCUUCACCACUUAUGUUAUUUUUGGAACCCUUUGGCCUGACUAGUCUCUUCUUCUUCAUAAGAACCCCUUCUCCACUGCCAUCCAUCACACUCUCUGUACCUGAAAUUCCCACAUUUUCUUCACCACUCCUGUUACUCUUAGAACCCUUCGGCCUGCCUAAUUGCAUCUUCUUCUUCUUAACAACGCCUUCUCCACUGCAAUCCACCAUGCUAACUGUAUCUGAAUUUCCCACCUUUUCUUCACUUCUCCUGACAUUCUUAGAACCCUUUGGUCUUCCCCUUAUCUUCAAAACCUUUGCCCUUCCCCUUUUCUUAGAGCUUACCACACUAACAUCAUUAGCUACUACAUUUUCCAAAAAAGGUACCACUACUUGCUGACCAUCAAAAUUCCCCUGAUUCUGAAACUCAGAAUCUAAUACCACAUCCCCCUUCUGAUUCAAAUCUUCCAUAACCAAUUUUUGACAAGAAACAAAACAAUUCUACGAACUACUGAUCAAGAAACCUCAAACUCAACUCAUCAUAGAACACCCUUUUCUUGAUUUUUUUACAUAAACCCUAAAAAAAAUCACCAAUAAAACUCAACAAACCCCUCAAUUUUCCAAGAAAAGAGAACCCCACCAAUAAAAAUGCAACCUUUAAAUAGAACAAAAAAUAAAAGGACCACAAGGGGUAUUCAUGGAGGAGUAAUGUUGCCUGUUUCUUGGGAACAAAACCAAGAACUCACCUUUCCAAUGGACUUCUAUUUUGCUUUUCUAUUUUUUUCUCUUUCACCCUUUUUCAGUAAAACAGACUAAUGACGAGUACCUGGUUUUAUGUAUUUGUUGUUGUUUUGUUGGAGAAGAUUAGCAGGGAAGCUGUUGUUGACUGAAAACUUGGGAACAUGAUUUUGUGUUGAUUUGUUUUUGUCCAUUUUACAUGUUUUCCCUGGUUUUUAAAACAAUACUAAUAAUAUUAUGUAGUAGUAUCAUUUGCGAUUUUAUCAGAUCAAAUUAAUGUGAUAAUGUGAUAUAGUUUUAAUUUAGUGAUAGGGUGAAUAGAUAAUUAUGAUUUAUUAGAUCUCAACUCAUCCAUAGUAAAGAAAUAUGACAAUGUGUUAUAAACCAAACAAAAGAGUCUAACCAAAAGACUAGUCUAGAAGGUGGGAGAACCCAUUGACUUAUACUCCCUUAGCAUUUUUCUUUUUUUUCAAUAUGGAACAUUGGUUCAUUACAAUCGCCCCACUUGAGAAUCAACGACCUCAUUGGUCACGGCUAUACCCAGUUGGUCACGGCCGGCACCCCUCUUGGGUCCAGGCCACCACUUCGAGACGCGGCUCCACACGUGGUUUGUUCCUCAUUGAUUACGACUAUGCCCAGUUGGUCACGGCUGCACCCCUCGGGUCCAGGCCAUCACUACUGGCACAUAGGUCACCACUCCGAGUCACGGGCUCUUCAUUGGUCACGACUAUGUCCUGUUGGUCACGGCUGACACCCCUCGGGUCCAGACCACCACUACUGGCGCAUAAGCCACCACUCCGAGUCACGGCCCCCACGCAUGGGACUCUCAAUGAAAGCAUGUUAUAAACCAAAAGGGAAAGCUCAACCCAAAAGACUAACCUAGUAAGUGGGAGAACCCAUUGGCUUAUACCCCUAGCAUUUCUCCUUUUUUCCAAGGUGGGACAUUGAUUCAUUACAGAAUGAUUUUUAUUUUACUAUACUAUAUGAUAUAUGAAAUGAGAAGUUAGCAUAUAAAUUAGCUUUGCUAAAAAUAGUACAUGUUUAAUUAGCUUUGCAAAAAAAUAGUAGUACAUGUUUAAUUUGACUUGUGAUAACACAUUGUGGCUCCAAAAUUGUGUAGUUGUUUCAUAUAUUGAAAUAUUGUAAUUUGGAUAUUUACAUGAUAAAAUGAUAAAAUCUUUGAUCUUGGAUAGUAAGUAUUGAUAAGAAAUUUAAAAGAAUCAAAGAGAGUUAAUACAAAAAUAAUUAUUAAUUAGUAUUAUAAUUCAUAGUAGUUUUAGAUAUCUUCUACACGUGUAAAUUUUAAUUUGAAAAUUUUAAUAAUUUCAUGUUCGACUUCACGUCAAAUUAAUUAGUUUGAAGUUGGUUGGUCAAAAAAUGUCAUAUAUUUUGAACAUAUUAUCAUAAAAUUAAUUUCAAAAUAAGUGGUAACAAUUAUUUCAUGCUAAAUUGAAUGUUAAUAUCACCACAACUAUUAAUAUAUAAAAAUUUAUGCCUGAAAUAAGUAUCUAGUGGUUCCAUGGUCUAGUGGUUAGGACAUUGGACUCUGAAUCCAGUAACCCGAGUUCAAAUCUCGGUGGAACCUUCCAAUUCUUAUUAAUUUUGCUUUGAAGUUUUAUGAACCCAAAUUUUCUUAUUUUUCAUCUUUUCUUAAAAUAAGUAUUUUUUUUAUUUUCAAAAUAAAUAGUGUUUCACAAAAUCAAAAAGGUUUAUAAAAUUUUCUUCUAAUUUUAUCCAUAUCUAAAUAAUUAGAUUUUACGUAACAAAGAAACAACAAAAGAGAUCUUUCGUCUAAUAUUUGCUAGUCAACAACAACAUACCCAAUGUAUUCCUACCUAGUGGAGUCUAGGGAGGGUAGAGUGUACGCAGUCCAUACCACUACCUCAGGUGAAGUAGAGAGGUUAUAUAGACCCCCGGCUUAGAAUCAAUAACAAUAUAACAGAUAUAAUACAUAAAUGUCAAGAAACUUCAGACACAAAUACAGAAUACUUCCUUGCUGUCACCGACACUCUCAAAUCUCGGUGGAACCUUCCAAUUCUUUUUAAUUUUGUUUUGAAGUUUUAUGAACCCAGAUUUUCUUAUUUUUCAUCUUUUCUUGAAAUAAGUAUUUUUUUUAUUUUCAAAAUAAAUAGUGUUUCACAAAAUCAAAAAGGUUUAUAGAUUUUUCUUCUAAUUUUAUCCAUAUUUAAAUAAUUAAAUUUUACGUAACAAAGAAACAACAAAAGAGAUCUUCCUUCUCAUAUUCGUUAGUCAACAACAACAUACCCAGUGUAUUCCCACCUAGUGGGGUCUGGGGAGGGUAAAGUGUACGCAGUUCAUACCACUACCUCAGGUAAAGUAAAGAGGUUAUAGACCCCCGGCUUAGAAUCAAUAACAAUAUAACAGACAUAAUACAUAAAUGUAUAUAAACUUGUAUAGUAUGCAAAAAUAAACUAAGAAUGCUAGCCACAAGAUAAUACUAAAACUAUACAUCUGAAAUCAUAGACAGCACACAACGCCUACGAACAAGAAACUUCAGACACAAAUACAGAAUACUCCCCUGCUGUCACUGACACUCUCCCCCCCCCCAACCCUCUACCCUAAUCCGCAUCCUCCGCACCUUCCUAUCGAGGAUCAUGUCCUCCGUAAGCUGUAACUUCUCCAUAUCAUGUUUAAUCACCUCUCUCCAAUAUUUCUUUGGCCUACCUCUCCCCCAUCUAAAAUUAUCCAUAACCGGUGUCUCACACCUCCGCACAGGCGCAUCAGCACCCCUCCUCAUCACGUGCCCGAACCAACGUAACCUCACUUCUCCCAUCUUGUCCUCCACUAAAGACACUCCCACCUUUUUUCGAAUAAUCUCAUUCCUCACCCUAUCCUUCAUAGUCUGACCACACAUCCACCGCAACAUCCUCAUCUCCGUCACUUUUAAAUUUUGGACUUGGAUUUCUUAACUGGCCAACAAUCUGCUCCAUACAACAUAGCCGGUUGGACUGCCACUCUGUAGAACUUAACUUUAAGCUUUGGGGGCACCUUCUUAUCACAUAAACCCCCCGAAGCAAGCCUCCAUUUAAACCAUCCUACCCCAAUACGAUGUAUGACAUCCUCGUCAAUCUCAUCAUCACCCUCAAUCAUAGACCCCAGAUACUUUAAACUCCCCUUCUUUUGAAUAGCCUAAGAAUCCAGCUUCACAACCACACCAGUCUCCUGCGACACAUCACCAAACUUACACUCUAAGUAUUCUGUCUUGGUCCUGCUCAGUCAAAAACCUUUAGAAUCAAGGGUCUGUCUCCAAAUCUCCAACUUAUCAUUAACUUCUCCCCGAGUCUCGUCAAUCAAUACCACAUCAUCGGCAAAUAACAUAUACCAAGACACCCCUCCCUGAAUAUGUCGUGUUAACACAUCCAUCACCAAGACAAAUAAAAAAGGGCUAAAUUAAGAUGGGAUUAAGUAAAAAAAAAUUCAUUUUUCCUCUACAAUUAAACUAUUUGAAAGUUUAAACAGAUUAUCUUUAUGUCUUAAUAUAUAUAAAAUAUAUAGUAGUAAAAUUGAUCAUUUUAUUAAUGAUAUCUUAAUCAAUGUGUAAAAUAGUGCUCAACUAGUAUGAGACGGAUGUUGUACUUUUUUUUCAAGACAUUUGAUUAAAAUGAAAACACUUCUUACAAUCUAAGUGAAAUUUUCAAAUGAGGUGUCACCAAAUUAAAAACGUCAGUUAUUAUAAAAGGAAAAGAGUAACAUAUAUCCUCAUUUUCGGAGUGAUCAAAUAAUUUAUGUAAGAUACUCUAGUAAAUAAAGUCUCAAUUUUCUUGUCAUGGAGCACUUUUUCUUUUCUAGUCAUUUUAAAAGUUAAUGAAGUCUGAUUUUACCUUUUUUUUAAUUGGAGGGAGCAAGCACACAAAUAAUUAUUUUUAGGACCUUCAUUUAGAAAAGAAGUAAAAAUUUACACAAUUUAUAAAUUUUACAUGCCUGAAGACAAGUUAGACUUUGAAUUUAGCCUUUGUCAAAGGUUAAUUUUCAACAUCAUAUCUUAAUUUGAACCGAGUUUAAAUGCAAUUUCAAUAGAUAUAGGGUCUGAAAUUAGGUUUUAUAAGAGCUUAACUUUAAAUUCGAAGGUCUCGAAUUGGUCGUUUUUAAUAACCGUUGUAUUCGGAUCAAUUUUUGUGCACUUCAACUAAAUUUAUGAGAUAUUUGUCACCUCCCGCCAACAACAAAUAUCUAAUAACUCUGUUCAUCAAUUAUUGAAUUAGCCACAUGAUACAAGUAUGAUCUUGAUCAUGACACUUUUGAGUAUUUUUUAAGACUAGUCACUAAAGGGCUCUUUUGUUAUUUCUCUAUUAUUUGUAAUGUUGUAUAAAUAGAACCUUGUAGGGUUUAUUUUCUUAAUUAUGCUUGAUAUAAAUAGAACCUUGGAUUCUCUUGUAUGUUGCAAAGCUUGAGACUUUGGUGCUUUGAGUGAUGGAUGCCCCUCUUAUGUCAUUGUAAGAGUUAGGUGUUUGUUGUAUAAAGUGUUAAAGGUCCAAGAGUGAAUAUACUCUUGGGUUGUUAAAACUACAUCAACACUUGUCUAACUAUCUAUCUUUGUUUCUUGUCCUAAUCUUGUAGUUUGUGUUGUUGUUGUUCAAGCCGUUUGGUUAUUGUGGUUGUAACAUUGUUGUUCUUCAUUUUUAUCAUCGUAAUAUAGUUUGGUUUGCUGCUGGAAAUUAGGUGUUAAACACCUCAUUACAUGUUGUUCUUGUUGUGUUCUUGAAUCCGAGAGGGGUCACCAAAAGAGGUCCAUAGUUCCUUGAACUAGUGGACUGUUUUGGUGUUUGUUUUCUUGUGUUCUUGGGCUGUCUUGUAUCAUUUGGUAUCAAAGUAAGGUUUGAUUUCUUGGAAUUGUUAUCUUGAAAAUAAAAAAAAAGUGAAAAGAAAGAAAAAGAAAAAAAGUUACUGUUCACGUUUUUAGGGUCUUUAAAAAAAAACUUGAUUUUUGUGUGUUUUGUGUGUUUCUAGUGUUAGAUCCUUGUUCCCUAACACUAUUAGAGUCUAGAAAUUAAAAAUCUCAACAAAAAAGAAGUGUCAAAAUUGAAAAUCCCCCCUCCCCCCCCCCAAGAAAAAAACUAAACCCGUUUUUUACCCUAGGUCAAAUUUUGAGUUUUUGAUUUUGUGUUUUUAUUGUGUUUUUAGUGUUAGAUUUGUGUUCUCUAACACUAUAGGAGUAUAGGGUUAGAAUUUGAGCUAAAUUGGAGGUUAUUUGAGCCAUCCAUCAUUGUUAAGCUUGAGUUUGAAGAAACCUGAAGGUGGGAUCUCAUUGUUGGAGGUUGUUUUGAACUCACGUGUGUUUCAUUUUGUAGAAUUUGUAUAGUAUUGUUGUGUGUGGCGUUUUGGACUGAUUGGGUGUCUUGUUGGAUAGUAACUUGAAGGGUUAUUUUUGGUAUAACCACAAUGGAACCCGAGGCUUCAAAUGCUCAAACAAUGGAUAAUAAUGCCAUCAAACUCAUUUUGGCUCGCCUUGAAACUAUGCCCCGAGAUGUGGCUAGGUUGAAUGUGGGUCUUGAGAAAUUAGAUACGGAUGUGGCAUCAAUAAGUGAGAGAUUAGAACGUGUGGAAAGCCAAAGGAGUCGACCUUCCACACCUUAAAACAAUUCCCCAACUAAUACUCCCGGGACCAUGCACCAAAUGCUAUAUCCACCAAUUGCCACAAAUCCAACCAAUAUCUACUCUUGAAGCCAAGAACAAGAUAGACCAAACCAUCCUCCACUCCACCAAGUCCAACAAGAAGGGCUUGGAACCCAAAUACCAUCACCAAACCCAAACCCUCUCAUCCAAACUCUACUUGACCAAAGACCUCACUAUCUAAAUCCAAUCCCGCCACUACAAGCUCCACUUAACCCAAAUAGACCCAUCCAUGUUGAGGGCUAUGGUAGGGGAGAACAACAUGGUGGUUAUGGUGUAUAUGAUGAUGUUUACUUGAGGGAAGAAAGAAUAAGGGGUAGACAUGGGGAGUCAGAUCGAGAGGUGAGAUAUGGCCAUCCAAACCGAGAUAUAAGUCUCAAUUCCAUCAAAGUGAGCCUUCCCAUUUUCAAAGGUGAGAGUGAUCCUGAAGCCUACCUUGCAUGGAAGUCGUCUUGUGACAAGAUCUUCCAACUUAAUGAUCUCACCGAAGAAAAGAAAAGUUGUUAUGCUAUAGCUCACUUUGAAGGGUAUGCUAAUACAUGGUGAGAGUAUGUUAAACGGUUUGGGAAUGAGAUGAUUGGGGGACAACCUCCUCCUUGGUUUCGGUUGAAGAACCUUAUGCGGCAACUGUACUUUCUCGAGACUUAUAGCCAUGAGCUUCUUGCCAAAUUGUAUAAUUUGAGGCAAGGGAGUAAGAGUGUCAUGGAUUACUACGAUGAAUUUCAACAAUUGGUGUUGAAACUUGACCACGGAGACGAGCAAGUAAGUCAUGACAUUGUGCACUUUAAGGUUGGGUUAAACAAGGACAUCUCCACUUGCACGAUGCUUCACAAAUUUGACACCGUAGAUGGCAUCUUCCACGCGACUUUAGAGGUUGAGAGGGAGCUCAAAGAGAAAUCAUUCAUGGCUACCCAACCCGAGGCUACUAAGGGUUUCCAAAAACAUCCUCCAAGGUAUGAAGGUAAAUUAAAUUCUACUUCCAAUCCCAAGGGGUUUCAAUGCUUCAAGUGUCAAGGGUGGGGGCACAAGGUUAGUGAGUGCCCAAACCGGCGGAAUAUAAUCCUAAGAAGGGGUAGAUUGUACUAUCUUGGAGAAAAGGUGGGCAUUGAAUUGGUUAAGAAUGAUGACAAACCGCAAGAUGGAGAGUAAAAAGAAGCCCAAGUGCAAAAUGAAGAGUAUAGAGAAGAUGUGUGGACGGAAGAAGGAGAUUGUGAAGUGCCUUUGUAAAAGAGGUGAGCCCGUGAAUUUGUGGUCAAAUUCCUCUCAAGAUGGAGAGGAUGAUACAAGUAUGAUCAUGAUCAUGAUCAUGACACUUUUGAGUAUUUUUGAAGACUAGUCACUAGAGAACUCUUUUGUCAUUUCUCUAUUAUUUGUAAUGUUGUAUAAAUAGAACCUAGUAGGGUUUAUUUUCUUAUUUUAUGCUUGAUAUUAAAGACACUACUCUUGUGAGAGAGAGUUCUCAAAACUGAAAUUAGGGCAUAGCAUAAGGGUGGAUUCUCUUGUGUGUUGCAAAGCUUGAGACUUUGGUGCUUUAAGAAAUGGAUGCCCCUCUUGUGUCAUUGUAAGCGUUAGGUGUUUGUUGUAUGAAGUGUUAAAGGUCCAAGAGUGAAUAUGCUCUUGGGUUCUAAAGACUACAUCAACACUUGUCUAACUAUCUAUCUUUGUUUCUUGUCCUAAUCUUGUAGUUUGUGUUGUUGUUGUUCAAGCCGUUUGGUUAUUGUGGUUGUAACAUUGUUGUUCUUCAUUUUUAGUGUCAUAAUAUAGUUUGGUUUGCUGCUGGAAAUUAGGUGUUAAAUACAUGGUGUUCUUGUUGUGUUCUUGAAUCCAAGAGGGGUCACCAAAAGAGGUCCAUAGUUCCUUGAACUAGUGGACUGUUUUGGUGUUUGUUUUCUUGUGUUCUUAGGCUGUAUUGUAUCACAACAUUUACUUUUUCUUCUAAAAAAUAUAAUUUAUACAAGUGUCUGAUGCAGAAGACCAACUAGAAUAAGCUAUAUUUUAAAUUGUAAUAAAAAAAGGGGUUAUCUAGUAGAGUAGUGGGGUGUCCUAGUCAAGCCCGCUCUCAGUAGUAUGCCUACUCAUGUUAUGCAGUACUUUAAGAUCCCUGGUAAAAGUAAAAUCAAUGAUAUGUUUAACAAGUUCAGAGGGAUUUUAUCUAGGAAGGUAGUGCUGAGAAAAGAAAACUCCAUCUCCUUAGAUGGGAUAUGCUCACUACCUCUAAAUCCAAAGGGGGGUCAGGACUUCACAAAAGUGAGCUUAAGAACAACACUUCAUGCCAGGCUUGCUUAGAGGAUUUUUAAAAAUCCUAACAGCCUCUGGGGCUAAGACAUCAUCUCCAAAUACCAUAUCAAUGGUAAAACCUCCUAUAACAAGAAAAUUGCUUUUAGAACCUGGAAAAAUAUCCAUAAAGAAUGGGUUAACUGUACCAAUGGUAUUAGCUGGAGGGUUAACAAAGGAGGCAAGGUUAAAUUCUUAGAGGAUAGUUGGAUCCAUCACCUCGAAAGCAUCAGAAGCAUGACCUAAGGUCCUCUCAAUAGAGGUGAUACCACUAUCACCAUUAGGGAUUUGUAUAGAAAUAGGACUUGAAAUUCCUAACACAUCAAGGAAAUCAUCCUCAGUACCCUUUUGCCCCAGGUCACUAGUAAAGUGUAAUACCCUAUACUUUUCUUAGUCUUGUUUAGCUCCUAGUGUGUCAAGGAUCAACUUCAAAAGUGUAUAAUUCUUGAUACACAUAAAAUUUUCCAUUUCUAAACCAACCAAUGUAUAGAUAAUUGAGUUAGCUUUUCAACGAUAUCAAUUUCUCCUUAAUUCGAUACUCGGUUGAGAAGUUAUGACGCUUUUAGUAAAAAACAGUAAAACACCGCGAUAGUACCGCAUUGCGGUGAAGUUCCAGCUCACAAUUGUCCAUUUUUCAGUGAAGCACCAUACCGCGUCGUGGUGAAGCCCAAAUUCCCGUUUGUCCCUUUUCCAGUAACUUACCACGACUGGCCUGUAUCGCGCCAAAAUCCUUAAUAGGACAAUCACCGUGUCGCGGUGAAGUGCAAAAUGGGACUCGUCCCUUAUCCAAUAAGACCAUCGCAAUUACACUGCAUUGUGAUGUUUGUCAAAAUCGAGAUUAUACCUUAUUCAGUAUGGCACCGCGAUUGCCACCGCAUCGCACGGCCAAAGUCGGGAUUUCAGUUUCGAACUUGGUUUUUUUAGGGGCAAUCUAGUCUUUUUCCUAAUCCCCAAUUCGUGAAAAACAGGGAAUUAAACCCAUUCUAAGCACUUUAUGCAUAUUUUUCAUCAAAUUACUCUCAAAGAAACCUUAGAUCUGCAAAACUCAAUCCCUAAGAAAUCCAAAUUCCACCAUUCUUUUUUCAAAGUAACCCAAAAUUCAAGAUUUUCAAUUCAAAUAUUCAAGAAUCAAUCCUCAAGAGCACAAAUAGGAACCCAAAGUUCAAGUUUCUUCCUUUGUUCAUCAAUUAAGGUAUGUGGGAUUUUGAAUAAGGAUAAUUCUUUCAUCCUUGUGCCCAAAACUUAUUUUAAUUAUGAUUUUACAUAAAUAUACAUGAAUUUCAAUUUAGGGUUCAUACCCAAAUAUUGUUAUUUGAAGAGUAUGAUGUUUCAAGAGAAUUAGAUGUUGAUUUGCAUGACUAUUUUCGUAUUUUUAUGCGUAUGACAUUAUUUUCCAGAUUUAGAAUUUGAUUUAUCAAUGCUUUCAUUAUCAAGUAUGAACUUUAUGAAAUUUUGACAUGAAUUUGAUGCAUGGAUUAUUAAGCCCUAGUUUGAACAUUGAUAUUUCAAGAAUGAUUAUUCUUUAGGCAUCCUGUGAUUUGUUCAUUCUCAGAUUUUGAUAAAGAUUUGGCCUUUUGGUCAUAACAUAGAUAUGAAAUCCACUUUGUAGGUAAAUUUUAUUUUUUAACAAGUAGAAGCACAAUUAUAUUUCAGUAUGAAUUAUUAUGACUUCUAAAGUGGAUUUCCCACAAAAUGAGCAUACAUAUUAAAGGGAGUAGUAUUUAGCACCGAGCGGGAAGUGUGAGUUUAGCGCAUCCUACUUUCCUAGAAAUACGAGCCAACAUAGGUACAAUUUUAGAUUAUUUCCAUUUCUAUAUGGAUGAGAGUUACAGAUGUAAUCACUUAGCUCAGGUUAUACUCCUUGACAAGAGUAUGCCACCUCUCCCCAACAUGAAAUUUUCCCCUUAGGGGAACUAGACUUUGGACACUAUGACAACUCACAUAGUGUAUGUCAGUUAGAAGAACCUCCCUACUAGUAAAAAUAAUAAAAUUCCCUACAACUUAAAAACCUUACAGAACAGUUUUUAAAAAGAAUUCCCUACUAGAAAAGAAUAACAGAUAAUAGUUCAGUUUUUAGACUUUAAAUGGGAUGGCUCACCAGAUUUACACAAUAUGUUUUAUUACCCAUGAUUUAUGAUUUUCAGCUUUCAAAUAUUCAAGUCAUGUAAGUCAUUACAUUCGAGCAUGCAUAUUUUAUGAAUUUUGAUAAUAUUGAGAUAUUAUUUUUGCUUAUGAAUUCACCCUCACAUGCUCAGUACAUCCUCAAAGUACUGAUCCACAUAUACGUCUAUGUACUAUAUUUUUUAAUAAUAUAGGUUCAGGUGCUCAGUCACAACAACGUUAGUGAUUUUGGGCAUCUCUUUCUACAUCCCGACAGUUGGAGAGUCAUCAUGAUUCGAGGGCCUAUUUAUUUAGAUUUCUAACUUUCAUAGUAUUUGAUUAGUUGCUUUCAAUUCAGUCCAAGUCAGUUGGGGGUUUGUCCCAACGGCUCUUUAGUUCUUUAGUAAUAGAGGCUUGUCGAACUGCUAGUUAUUUUUCAGACUUCAGUAUUAGUUAUUUAGACAGUACAUUCAGUUGAUUUCAGUUCAGUUUUGACAUAAUUCAGUAGUGUUACUUAAUUAGUUACCUUGAUAUGAGUUUCAAAUCUAGUAGAAGGCUUGCAGGGUUAGCUUGAGACUACUCGUAGUCUUGAGCACCAUGUGACGUCUCAAGACCCAUUUUUGGGGUGUUACAAACUUGGUAUCAGUGCCUAAGGUUUAGAGAGUCCUAUGAAUUCAUACAAGCUGCGUUACGUAGAGCCUUGAUCAUAGGUAUGAAGCGCACCACAUUUAUGAGCAAGAGGCUACGGAACGUUUUAGGAAAUCAUCUCUUUUCUUUCAUAAUCCAUCGUGCUUAUAUCCAUCACUAUCUAAUUUUAACUUGUACUCUUUCAUGAUAGAACAUGCCUCAUCACAGAGCUAAUGCCCCCAAAAAUAAUAACCAGCCACCCCAGCCUGUUAAUCUUCUGAAUGAGAACAUGUCUCAUACCAAAUUUUGGGCUGCCUUUCAAGCAUUAGUCUAAGCUGAGACUGCCAAUGUUCAGGGCAACCAAUAGGCUGUAGUCCUACGUCAGCAAGAGGGUGAUUUAUCUGCAAUCAGACUUUGUGACUUCAUGAGGAUGAAUCCACCUGAAUUCUUUGGGUUAAAGGUAGGUGAGGACCCACAGUUGUAUCUUGAUGAGGUGAAAAAGAUCACUCAAGUCAUUCAUGUUACUAAAGAGAAAAGUGUAGAAUUAGUUUAUUAUAGGUUGAAGGAUGUUGCUUAUGAUUGGUUUAUUAUGUGGAAGAAAGGUAGGGGUAAAAAUGCAGCUCCCAUGAGUUAGCAGGUAUUUCAAGAUGUAUUUCUAGAUAGUUUAUUUCUAUGGGAGUUGUGAGAAGCAAAGAUUAAGGAGUUCAUAAACCUCAGGCAGGGCUCAAUGACAGUGAAGGAGUACUACCUUAAGUUCAAUCAGUUGUCCAAGUAUGCACCUGAGUUUAUAGCUGAUACUAGAUCUAGUAUGAGUAAGUUUAUUACCGGAGUGUCUGGUUGGUAGUCAAAGAGUGUAGGACUGCCAUGCUUAUUGGAGAUAUGGAUCUUGCUAGGCUGAUGACUCAUGCUCGGCAGAUUGAGGCAGCAAAGUUGAAGGAAAGAGAUAGAGGAAAUAAGAAGGCUAGAACUAGGCAAUUUGAGUUGGGUCAAUUAAGAUUUGCGGGGGGAAAUCGCUCACAGUUUCAGAGUCGCCCGCCUUUGUCGGUGCCAUCUUCAGCCAAUGCUCCCAUACCCAGAACUAAGUAGGAGCAGUGGGGGUAAGACUUCAAUGUCCAGAUCUUAGAAUAAUGUGGGUGGAAGACCUAGUUAUCCUACAUAUGCUAGAUGUGGUAAGAAUUAUUCUGGUGAGUGCUUUUUGGGUCAGAAAGGUUGUUUUGGAUGUGUUAAGUUGGGCCACGAUAUCAAGGGGUGUCCGUAUGCUAAGAAAGGAAGCAGGGAUAUUCAUCCCCAAACUUAGGCUACUAGUGUACUAGCUCCCGUAGGUCGCCCUGCCCCUCCUCAGGGCACAUCUUUCAGUACCGAUAAUGGUCAACGCCAGAAUCAAUUUUAUGCUUUACUAUCCCGCCAGGAGCAGGGGAGUUCACCAGAUGUUGUUAUUGGUAUGUUUUGUGUCUUUUAUUUUGAUGUUUAUGUGAUGUUAGACCCUAGGUUAAGUUUCUCUUAUGUGACUCCGUUAGUUGUGGUAAAUUUUGGGAUAGAUCCUGAAAAGCUUUCUAAGCCCUUCUCCAUUUCUACCUCAGUAGGCGAGUUAGUUGUCUCCAAACAAAUCUAUAGAAAGUGUUCUAUCACUGUCCUUCAUAAGAUCAUAUUAGUAGAUUUAAUAGAAUUAGACAUAGUUGACUUUGACCUUAUUCUUGGUAUGGUUUGGUUCCAUUCCUGUUAUGCAUCUAUAGAUUGUCGUACCCGAAUGAUGAAGUUUCAGCUUCCUGAUGAGCCAGUCUUUGAGUGGAAAGGUAAUUCAGUAUCUCCCAAUAGUCAUUUUAUAUCCUAUCUUAAAGCUAGAAAGUUGAUAUCAAAAGGGUGUAUCUAUCAUCUAGUUUGAGUCAAGGACGCUAAGUUUGAGGCUCCAAACGUUCAGUCAGUCCGGGAAGUAAAUGAGUUUCCAAAAAUCUUUCCUAAAGAGUUGCCAGGGGUACCUCUCGAAAGGGAAAUAGAAUUCAGAAUUGAUCUUCUUCUAGAUACACAGCCCAUAUCCAUUCCUCUAUGUAGUAUGGUUCCCGCCGAGCUUAAAGAGUUGAAAGAGAAACUCAAAGGCCUCUUAGAUAAGGGUUUCAUAAGGCCCAGUAUUUCUCCAUGGGGAGCUUUCGUCCUAUUCGUGCGUAAGAAAGAUGGUUCUCUGUGAAUGUGCAUUGACUAUCGUCAGCUGAAUAAAGUCACAGUUAAAAACAAAUAUCCUCUCCCCAAAAUUGAUGACUUAUUUGACCAACUCCAAGGUGUAAGUUAUUUCUCUAAGAUAGACCUUAGAUCCAGCUAUUAUCAGCUUAGAAUAAGGGAAUGUGACAUCUUGAAGACAACCUUCAGAACCCGUUAUGGUCACUUUGGAUUCCUAGUCAUGUAUUUUGGGCUAACAAAUGCCCCAGCAGCCUUCAUAGAUUUGAUGAACUAUGUGUUCAAAUAGUACCUAGAUAUGUUUGUCAUAGUCUUUAUCGAUGAUAUCCUUGUAUAUUCCCGUAAUGAUUAUGCAGACCAUGUUAGAAUUAUGUUGAAAACUUUUGGAGAUCACCAGUUAUUUACCAAAUUCAAUAAGUGUGAAUUUUGGCUAAGGUUAAUAGCUUUCCUCGAUCAUAUUAUUUCCAGUGAUGGCAUUAGAGUUGAUCCCCAAAAAACCGAAGCAGUAAAAAACUGGCCUAGACCCAUUUCUCUAUCAGACAUUAGAAAUUUCUUGGGUUUAACUGGCUAUUAUAGAUGAUUUGUUAAGGGGUUUGCAUCCAUUGUAUCUCCCAUGACAAAAUUAACUCAGAAGAAAGUUAAGAUUUCAGUGGUCAGAUUCUUAUGAGAAGAGUUUUCAGGAGUUGAAGACUUGACUCACUUCAGCCCUGUCUUAGCAUUACCUGAUGGUACAGAUGGGUUCGUUGUGUACUUGUGAUACCCCAAGUUUUCCCGUUAAAUAUUUCGGUCCCAAAUGUGUCGAGUCGUUAAAGCCUUUUUAUCUUUCCAAGAGUUCGUUAAGAUCUCGGACGAAAAUGUGUUGAAUUCUGUUCUUUAUCGUGAUUAAUAAUUUUUCUGUAUGGAAUUUCUCGAUAUGCGACCCGUCAUCGCGUAGAGCAUCAAAUAAUCUUUCCAACGAUAUGUGGAUCAUCCAAGACGAACACUCGAGCGAUGAGUUAUGAUCAUUUUGAUCUAACCGUGAAUAGUGGUGAACAGUAAAUGUGCAGGAAAAAAAUACUGAGGCCAGACAAAUUUUAGGGUUAACUUCAAACGAUCAUAACUCCUUUUACAUAAUGAUCUGGGUGAGCUACUAUAUAUCAACAGAAAGCUCUGAGAGUCCUCUUUCGAAUGAAAUUGGUUUUAUACAAUUUGUCCAUCAGAGCAAAAAGUUAUGGUCGAUCUACUUCAGCUUAUCAAAAUAGUCCACCAAAGGACAGAUUUGACAUUAUUUGAUUUUUAAGGGUAUUUUGGUCAUUUCCACUCCAAUCCAUCCGGGUAAACCAUGGAUUUAAGUCCAUUAAGAGCAUUCAAUAGCUCAUUUUUCUCCAAAAUUUCCUAAGGCUCAAACCCCAACCCUACUACUCCAAAUUUCAUCCUUCUAUGUCUCUUGAUUGAANNNNNNNNNNNNNNNNNNNNNNNNNNNNNNNNNNNNNNNNNNNNNNNNNNNNNNNNNNNNNNNNNNNNNNNNNNNNNNNNNNNNNNNNNNNNNNNNNNNNNNNNNNNNNNNNNNNNNNNNNNNNNNNNNNNNNNNNNNNNNNNNNNNNNNNNNNNNNNNNNNNNNNNNNNNNNNNNNNNNNNNNNNNNNNNNNNNNNNNNNNNNNNNNNNNNNNNNNNNNNNNNNNNNNNNNNNNNNNNNNNNNNNNNNNNNNNNNNNNNNNNNNNNNNNNNNNNNNNNNNNNNNNNNNNNNNNNNNNNNNNNNNNNNNNNNNNNNNNNNNNNNNNNNNNNNNNNNNNNNNNNNNNNNNNNNNNNNNNNNNNNNNNNNNNNNNNNNNNNNNNNNNNNNNNNNNNNNNNNNNNNNNNNNNNNNNNNNNNNNNNNNNNNNNNNNNNNNNNNNNNNNNNNNNNNNNNNNNNNNNNNNNNNNNNNNNNNNNNNNNNNNNNNNNNNNNNNNNNNNNNNNNNNNNNNNNNNNNNNNNNNNNNNNNNNNNNNNNNNNNNNNNNNNNNNNNNNNNNNNNNNNNNNNNNNNNNNNNNNNNNNNNNNNNNNNNNNNNNNNNNNNNNNNNNNNNNNNNNNNNNNNNNNNNNNNNNNNNNNNNNNNNNNNNNNNNNNNNNNNNNNNAUUUGAUUUGGUCUUUAUGAUAGACCCUUGUGAUGUUGUGGUGGAUUUCCUAGCGCGUUCUGAGCUUGUCGGGGAGUAGUACUUAGCACCGAGAGGGAAAUUUGGUAUUUCCCCAAACCUAUGUGCCACCGUAGGGUUGUUUGAUGAUGAUAUUAUUGGCCAGAGAACCCAAUUGUGAUUAUUGCAGUUUUUAGGUCAUACUCCCUGGUAAAGAGUAUGACGCUCCCGCCAACAGGGGUUUUGUCACGCCCCAAAAUCCCAUCGGGCCGGACUGGCACCCGAAGCCGAGAAGGUCCGGGAGAACCCGUUCAAAUACCUGUACUUUCACUUACAUGUCACCAAAGAAUUGGACAGGACAGCACGUCGUUGCAUAUAGAAAGGUCUAAUUACCUGUAUCAGCACAACACGCACAAAUAUAUAUAUAUAAUACUUGGCCGUCGGGGCCACCACAUAUACAAAUAUAACGUUACUAUAUAAACUUCCAUGACUUUACCCUUCCUUAUGUCUACAAAGCCUCUAGGAUAUACAUGACAUAACUAGGGUCGGGACAAACCCCCGCCCACACGUGACUCAUGUACAAUAACAAAACAUAAGGAACCGACUCGGAAAGCUCCGAAGCAAACUGGAGCUCACCAACAAUAGCUGUAUGACCUGGCUCCUACUUGUGCGGUGUAUGAGUUGAGGUACCUGUGCCUGCAGCAUGAAAUGCAGGUCCCCCGUGAGGGACGUCAGUACGAAAUAUGUACUGAGUAUGUAAAGCUGUAAAUAAUCACAUAUGAUAUAGGAGCUCAAUAGAAAUCAGAAACAAGUGAAUAAGUCGUAAUAGGAGUGGACCACACUUACUAGAACUUGUGACAACCUGUACAUUGUAUUUAUUCAAUCACUUUACCUUCGUUCUUAUCGUCUUUGUAAUCAUUACUGUACUGUACUGUGACCAUUAGGAUGCCUCCAGUACAUAUCAACUGGGAUCGACCCAUGCUAGGCUUAUGCCCCUGGGAUACCACCCAUAAACACAUGAAAUAGGGAUCGACCCAUGCUAGGCUUAUGCCCCUGGGAUACCACCCGAUAAGAGAGAACUUUCAUCACUUAGUUCAAUUAAUCUUUGAGAUUGUUAUUUCGGUCGUCACCACAUUUUUGAUACCUUGAAACAAUGAUACAUCAAUAGGAACCAAGUAAUAGACCUUCUAUACAAUAACGAUGUAAUAAGGACUCAUUGGUACAUCAACAAUAUGUUUCAGAAUCAUCAAUAUCACAACAAUGAAAUAAGAGCCUUUUGGUAUAUCAAUGAACAUUUUGACACUUUAUAGGAUGGAAACAACUUCGUUGGUAACGUAGAACAAUACAUGUUUUUGGACAACCUCGGAAUCUUACUUGAUGGAACAUUGGUGUUUUCAUGCCAAAGAACAUUGUUAGAGUAUGCUUUACAUACCUCGUUGUAGAUUCAGAUACCAAUUCAACACAACUUCCCGCCUUUACAAAUCACUUAUCUACAAUGAAAUGUUUGGCAUCUAGUAUUAGCAACCCAACACCACAAUUCUCUUCCAUAAUUCCAUACUACCAAUAUUUGCAAAACAUUCCAAAAACCAACUUGAACAAUAGGUUUAUGUGUGUAUAUGUAUAUAAUCAUCAUCUCAAUACCACAUCAUCAAUACCACAUCAUCACCCCAAAUUCCUUCACAAUUUAACAUAAUCCAACCAUGCACAAGAAUAAUCCAACAUCAUUUCCAAUCAUCUUUCAACAACAAUCAAAUAACAUACUUCUUAUGCUCACAUGCAUAUAUAUAUAUAUAUACAUAUCCAUAUAAAUAACACCAACAUAAUUUACAUCCUUACCAAAAAAAAUGGCCCUUUUGAUUUCGAAGUCCUGUUGGCACAAAUAAGGGGUGCUUCUCGAAGCCCUUGAGACGGUGAACACAACUACGGAAUCAAUUUGGAUUUUCUACGGUUGAAUCACAAGAUAAUUGGAGUUGAACUUAGGCUAGGGUUUCUUAUUCUUCAAUGAUUUGGAUGAUAAAUGGUGGAUAUAAGGCUAAGUAUAUGUAUAUAAUGACCAAUUUUCGUCCAUGAGGUGAUGGAAAAUGACCAUAUUGCCCUUAAAAAUUUAAGUAAAUCCGAAUCUGUCCAUGGUGGACUGUUUUGAUAGGCUAAAGUAAAUCGGCCAUAACUCUUUGCUCCGAUAUCGGAUUUGGGUGAAAUUGGUAUCGUUAGAAAGAUAAUUCAAAGGUAUUUCAUUUAAUAUAAAUUAAUCCACCCAGUUCGUCCUGUACAAGUAGUUAUGAUCGUUUGAAGUUGACCCUAAAAAUCUGUUUUGAGAGGCUGAAGUAAAACGAGUAUAACUCCUUACUCAGAUGUUGGAUUUGGAUGAAACCAAUUUCAUUGGAAAGAAGACUCAAAGAUCUUUCUUUUGAUAUAUGGUAGCUCAACCAGUUCAUUAUAUUGAGGGAGUUAUGAUCGUUCAAAGUUGACCCAAAAAACUGGCAGGCCUCAGUAGUUUCCUGCACAUUUUACUGUUCACAUCCCGGCCACCGUUUUAAAGUAAGUUUCUUGAAUUACCAAGUCACUCCGAGAUUUGAGUCAAAGAGUUGAGAUGUUUAUGAUGCUUUAUGGUCAUUUAUGAUGAUUUAUAAUUACCUAUAAUGAUUUUUGACGAUAUGAUAAUUUAUGAUGAUUUAGGAUGAUUUAUCAUAAUUUACGAUUUAUAAUGAUUUACGUGGCUUACUCGAUUUAUCAUAUGAGUUGUUUAUUAUGAAAUUAUGAAAAGUAUGAUUUGAUAUAACUCAAGCCAAGUGAGUCAUCAUUGUCCGUAUGCAUAUUUUCAUGAAAUUGAUUAUACUAUUUAUAUUGUUGCAUGCACCCCCACAUACUCAGUACAUUUNNNNNNNNNNNNNNNNNNNNNNNNNNNNNNNNNNNNNNNNNNNNNNNNNNNNNNNNNNNNNNNNNNGGUCGCAGCUCUCGAUCGGCAGGUGAUUAGUCCUUUUAAUUCAGGGACUUAAGUUGUUCAGAUUUGAGGUGUAUUGUAUUUUCUGUAUUCAGUCGUAUUGAGUAGGGGUAGUUGGGAGUCAUGACCCGACUAUCUUUGGUCAAUGCUAGUAGAGGCUUCAUAGACAGUCACUAGUAGUCAGUGUAUUCAAUUUCAGAUUUGUAUAUAUAUGAGCAGAAUUGUGAUCGUGUAAAUUUACUUUUAUGUUGGUUAGACUAAGUUAUGGGUUGUUUUCACAUUAUUCCAUCUAUUUUAUUUAUUUUAUUCAGUUGCUUUAUGUUAUGCCAGAUGAAGGGUUAACUUGGGGUUACUUGUGACCUUAAGCACCGUGUGACGUCUCGGAAUCUGAUUUCAGGGCGUUACAGUACUGUGAUACCUCUAGAGUUGGUUUGGAUCGUGUUUUUAUGCAAAGAAGGAAUGUCAUAGCCUAUGCCUCUAGACAACUUAAGCCUCAGGAAAAGAACUAUCCUACUCGUGAUCUUGAAUUAGCUGUUGUUGUGUUUGCUUUGAAAAUAUGGAGGCACUAUCUUUAUGGGGUGCAUGUUGAUGUGUUUACGGACUAUAAGAGCCUGCAAUAUGUGUUUAUGCAGAGUGAGUUAAAUCUUCGUCAGAGAAGGUGGUUAGAAUUGUUGAAAGAUUAUGACAUAAAUAUUUUGUAUCAUCCGAGCAAGGCCAAUGUUGUGGCAGACACCCUUAGUAGAUUAUCUAUGGGUAGUAUUGCUCAUGUAAAGAAUGAUAAGAAGGAGUUAGUUCAAGAAGUUCAUCAAUUGGCUAGAUUGGGUAUUCAUUUAAUUGAUUUGGCUGAGGGUAAUGUUUGGGUUCAGAGUAGUGCAGAAUCUUCUUUGGUUUCUGAGGUAAAGGAGAAUAAGAUCAGAAUCCGGUUCUAGUUAAGUUAAAGGAGUCGGUUAGAGAUCAGAAGGUAGAGGUUUUCUCCCGGGGGGAGAUAGCGUGUUGAGAUACCAGAGUAGAUUGUGUGAGUCGUGCAUUGAUGAUUUGAGACACCGAAUUAUGCUGAAGCGCAUGGUGUGCAUUACUCUAUUCAUCCUGGUGCUACUAAGAUGUAUCGAAAUUAGCAGGAAAUCUAUUGAUGGAUUGGUGUGAAGAAGGAUAUUGCAGAGUUUGUGGCUAAGUGUUCAGUUUGUCAACAGGUUAAUGUAGAGCACCAAAGGCCGGGUGGCACUUUGCAAGAGUUCAGUAUUCCCACUUGGAAGUUGGAAGAGGUGAACAUGGAUUUUGUAAUAAGGUUACCUCGUUCGCAUCGUCAGCAUGAUUCAAUUUGGGUUAUUGUAGAUAGGUUGACCAAAUAAACUCAUUUUCUGCCAGUUCAUACAUCCUACUCAGCUGAUGAUUAUGCUAAGCUGUAUAUCAGAGAGUUGGUCAGAUUGCAUAGAGUUUCUUCGUCUAUCAUUUCAGAUAGGGGUACUCAGUUUACCUCUCAUUUUUGGAAAGCCUUUUAGAAGAUCUUGGUACUCAAGUUCACCUUAGCUCAGCUUUUCAUCCGCAAAUAGAUGGUAGGCAGAAAGGACCAUUCAGACUUUAGAAGAUAUGUUGCGGGCAUGUGUGCUUGAUUUCAAGAGCAGUUGGGAUGAGCAUUUGUCGUUGAUUGAGUUUGCCUACAAUAAUAGUUACCAUGCUACUGAUAGGUGACCUACAUCUCCUCCCAUAAAGAGCCUAAUAGCUACCAUGCUAGUAUUCAGAUGAAACCGUUUUAGGCUCUUUAUGGGAGGAGAUGUAGGUCACCUAUCAGUUGGUUCGAAGUGGGUGAGGCCGCGUUGAUAGCGCCAGAUGUGGUGUUAGAAGCUAUGAAGAAAAUACAGCUGAGUAGAGAAAGGUUGAAAAUAGCUCAGAGUCGUCAUAAAUCAUAUGCAGCUGUGAGGAGAAGAGAUCUUGAGUUUGAAGUUAAUAACUUAGUUUAUUUGAAGGUUUCACCCAUGAAAGGGGUGAAAAGAUUUGACAAAAAGGGGAAGCUUAGUCGCCGCCAUGUUGGUCCCUACAGGAUAUUGAGCCGUGUUGGGAAAUUGGCAUACGAGCUUGAGUUGCCUGUAGACUUGUCAUCCGUUCACCCCUUGUUCCAUGUGUCCUUGUUAAGGAAGUAUAUUAGUGAUCCAGCGGUCGUAGUACCCUUAGAAAGCACAGACAUUCGCGAUAGCCUCUCUUAUAAAGAAAUUCCAGUUGAGAUCCUUGAUCGCCAAAUUUGUAAACUAGGAACAAAGAAGUUUCCUUGGUCAAAGUUCUUUGGCGGAAUCGAUCCGCUGAGGGAGCCACUUGGGAAGCAGAAGCGGAUAUGUGGAUCAAGUACCCUCAUCUUUUCACUGCAAACUCAGAUUCAGCCAAGGGUAACAGUCUUCCUUAAUAUUGUUCUCUUCCAGUCUCAGUUUUAGCUAUGUGAUUAUCUUCAUGCAAAUUCAUGCAUUCGUAGAUUAGUUCAGUCUCUCAGUAUGAUAUAGAUUCAGUCAUGCAGUUUUAACUCAGUUGUACAUGCCAGCAUGUAGUCUUAGUAUCCUCAGUUUAACUAAUCUCAUUCAAGGAUGAAUGUUUCCAAGAGGGAAAUAUUUUAAUAUCUGUUGACACCUAAUUUUUGCACUCCGUAUUUAAAAUUAACGUCUUCGAACUUCCUGAAUAUUAAAGGGCACAAAAUAUAAUUUUCACACAUUUUUUACAAUUGUUAGUAAAUUAUUGAUAUUCAUCCUUACUUUAAGAUUUUAUCAAUUUAUUUUUAUAUUUUUACUUUUAUAAUUUAUUGAUAAUUCUUUGUACAUUGAAUUUUUUAUCAAUUCAUUGUCAUUUUAACAUUUUUACAAUCAUCUGCACACGUACAUAACAUGACAUCACAUUUUAUAACAUUUUCAAAUUAAUUACAUUUUAAAAAUAUUUUCAACAUUCUUUACCUUUUCCCGUAAUUACAAAUCAAGUUCCACAAUUUUUUUUACAGUCCGCAAACGUUGAAUUAGAUCAAUUAUUUUUGUACAGUGUACUAAUUUGAUGUCUUGUCAUAUCUGACAAGAACUGCAAAUAAUAUCUUAUUACAUCCGACAAGUUAUUGAUAAUUGUCAUUAUUUUAGAAUUUUUACUAAUUUAUUAUCAUAUUUUAGUUUUACAUAACUAUCUUUAAUUUCAUAAAUUAUGGAAUUUUUAUCAGUUUAUUAUAAUUGCACAGUCAUCUACAUACGUACAUAAAAUAACACUAUAAUUCUUAUUAUAUACUAUAAAUUUUUAAUUAUUUAUGAUGCAAUACAUUAUUUUUCCAAAGAUAAUUAUAUUUAUUUAUAUUUUUUCUAUAAUAAUAUAUAUCGAUAUUUUAUUUAAUAUAAUCGACAAAAAUAAUAUUAAUUUAUUUUAUUACAUAAAAUAAUAAAUUAAUUAAGUCAAUAUCUCAUCAUAUUUAUGAUAUUUGACUCUUCCUUCACCUGCUAUCCUAAUUUAAGAAAUGUGUUGAAAAAAAAUAGAUGUUAUAUUUUAUUUUAUUAUUAUUAUUUAUUAAAUGCUCAUUCACACACACCAAACACAGACAAAAACACAUACAAAUCAGAUUUUUAUCUAUUCUCCUCUCAAAACUUACGUCUCUUUCUCUCUCUCUCUCAAAGCUCACUGCCGCCGCUCCACCGCUGACUCGCCGGAGGUGAUGACCGGAGAGCUUCAAUCGCUAAACCACCAUCACCAACACGGACACGAUCUGCUUUCCCUCUUCUCCGGUCAAAUCUGGCCGGAAUCACAAGUCACCGACGUUGCCUUUCCAGCCGCCUUCCUUUACCGGCGCGUCCCCUUUUCCUCCUUCGUUUCGCCGCUGGCUCGCCGGGGGUGGUUGUCGGCAAGUUCCAGUCAAACUCAGAACCACUGCAGGCUGGAAAAUGGCCAGAUCUGAUCGUAUUUUAUCUUUUCGACGUCACUCCGUCUGUUGCCGUUGAAGCGAUGCCACUACCGUUACAAACGGCCACCGCUGUUUUGGGGUCUUCCAUUUUAUGAAUCUAUUAAUGUGUUGGAUCUGAUCGAAAGACGCCAUCUCCGGCGAGCUCCCUUGAAUUUUAAUAUUCGUAUAUAUUUUCUGUGAUUUAUUGCAUUAUUUUGGGCUCCUCCGAUGAACAUCGUUGUUUUGGAAUCAUUUAUGGUUGUUUUAGCUGAUUGUUGCCAUAUUUUUACAUACUGACUUUGGUAUUCGGAUUGAUUUUUAUUUUAUCCACUUGUUGAUAAUUUUGUUAAUUUUUUCAACGAUCUUAUUUAGUAUUUGUAAAUUUUUGAUUGAUUUUAAUUUUUUCCUUUUAUUGUUGUACAAUUUUUACUACGCUAAUGGACUUUACAUUUUCAAAUUUAACUAUUAAUAUCAAAGGUCUACACCUGACCGAUGAAAUUAUCUCUCUAUUGGAUAUUUGAUUUGAGCGUACCCCAUUACCCAUUACAAAAGAUGAAUUUUAUUUUCUCAAAAUUAUUAGUUUAUAUUAAGAGUCGAAACUUGACCAAUGUAAUUAUUUCUCCGUCUAGAUAUUUGAGGCCAUCUCGUUACAAAAAAACGGACUUAAUUUUCUCAAAAUUAUUAGCUUAUAUCAAAGGUUGACACAUGACCAAUGAAAUUAUCUCUCCGUCUGGAUAUUUGAGGUCAUUCUAUUACAAAGACGGAUUUUAUAUUUUUAAACUUAUUAUUUAUUCUAAGGUUGAUACUUGGCCGAUGAAAAAAUUAUUCGUCGAUUUUUGAGGCCUUCACAAAUAAAAGACGAAUUUUACAUAUACAAAUACGUAACAAAAAUAAAUAUUUUCGAGUGAUUGGCGAAAUCUUUAUAAUAUUUUAAAAUUUUAUCUGAGUCUCACUUUUUUAACAAAAAUUUAUAUUUUAAAAUAUGUAUAUGCACAGAUACUUUUUAAUUUAUUUUGAUUAUUAUUUAUUUAUUAUUAAUAUUUUUAUUACAAGUGUUUAUACAAGUUAUUUGGAAUAAUUGUUAGGAUGACAUUCAAAGAAGACUUUAAAUUGUGUGUUUAUAUUUUUUAUAUUCUUACACUUGUACAAAUGUUAAUCAUAGUGAAAACUUUAUUUUUGAGGUGUUGGGCGGGAUAUUUUUUAUUUACGCAAUCUUCACAAUGCGUUUAGAUAAAUUUAGGUCGUUAAUAUUUAUAUAUAAAUAUUAGAUUGACUUAGAUUAUUUAAUCAAAUAAUUUAUACUUUUUACACUUAAAAAUAUUACGUAGUUUUUUUCUUCAGAACAAGUUUUUCUUUAUUUAAUUUUAUCUUUUCUUUAUAUACAUAUACUAAUAUACUUUUGUUUAUAAAUUUUUUUACGGUAAAACAUAUAUAUUAUUUUAAUACACUUACAUAAAAGAAUUAAUUUAAUCAAGUAAUUCACAUGUUAUGUAGUCUUUUCUUCUCAAAUAAAUUUACUUUUUUUUUCGUAAUUUUAAUCAGAUAAAAAAUAUUACUUGUAAAUACUUUUUCUUUUCAUGACAUAUCAAAAUACAUUUCUUUUCACACAUCGUAAAGAUUUUUCUUUUCACAUGUAUUUAUACAUUUUUAUAUAUAUCUUUUACUUAUUUUUAUAAGAAUAUGUUUUAUAUAUAUAUAUAUAUAUAUAUAUAUAUCUUUACAUAGUUUUAAGACAUUUAUACUUUUUUCAAAAGAAUUAUUUUAUACUUGAUACAUUCACUUUUUACAUUAUUUUUAAUAUACCUCCUCCUCUUUGAUAAAUUUAGUCUAAUCGGAUACCAUAUUUGUGGAUCCUGAAGUGUGCCUAACUCCUUUCCUUUGGGAUUAUUUGAACUCUUACUUAAAAUCUCAACUGGUUUUCGCAGACUGAAACAUAAAUCGCACAUAUUAAUAAUUCAAUAGGUUUCCUUAUUUUUCUUUAAAAAUUAGGUGACAACUCUGUACAAAAUUAUAAUUUUUUUUAGAGUCCAUAAGUCGUGCUUGUUUAACCAUGACGAAAAUAGGGCAUGACAAUACCCCAUACUUUUCUUAGUCCUGUUUAGCUCCUACUGGGUCAAGGGUCAAUUUCAAAAGUGUAUAUAACUCUUGAUACACAUAGAAUUUUUCAUUCCUAGACCCACCAAUGUGUAGAAAAUUGAGUUAGCUUUCCAACGAUACCAAUUUCGGCUUAAUCCGAUACUCGGUUGAGACGUUAUGACGCUUUUAGUGAAAAGCAGUAAAACACCGCAAUAGUACCACGUCGUGGUGAAGUUCCAGCUCGUAAUUGUCUAUUUUUCAGUGAAGCAUCGCGAUUAACCCUCGUUGUGGUGAAGCCCAAAUUCCCGUUUGUCCUUUUUCUAAUAGCU
rnacentral:lncRNA from 1 species